rnacentral:lncRNA from 1 species
UAUCUGGUGUCCAUAUAUUUUUGGGGAUUCUUAGUGUUUGUCUAGGUGUAGUGUCCAGUAUUCGUUCAGAAGUAUGGCUUGCACACAGUGUGUCUCCAAUAUGGAGUGGAGGGUUUGUAAGUAUGCAAUUUUAAAGAAAAUUGGAACGUCUUAAAUCACGAUAUAUUGUCACAAAUAAGCAACCCCUUAACAAUAAAAAUAAGCACACACGCAGUUUUGUUUUGUUUAACGUAAACGUUAACUUUGGGUUGUGUGAGACGGGUAUUGUGAUUUUAACUAUAGUCGCCGUCAGCUGAAAUUCGUAGCGGUUAUCGGUAAAAAUAAUCUAAACUAUCAAUCGCGUUCACUCGAGAUAUAGUUUUUCACAUUCCAUUCAUAAAUCGCAAAAAGAAUCAAAGCGCUGAAGGCAGUUAACCAAAAACCAAGGCAACCGUUAUUAUGAAAACUGUUGCAAUGUUGCCUCAACAUUAAACAUUCAUAUAUGAGUACAUUCAUGUUUAUCUAAUGAUUUAUUUAUUAAGGCAAAUAAUUUAUAUGUUAUCAAGGUUUCAAAAGCAAUGCAUAUAUCAAUGUAUAUUUUUUAUGGUGAGUCUGCAGUGGUACAAGUUCCCAAAGAUUGCAGUUGUUCUACUUGGUAGUUAACCUUGGUUUUAUUUGACUGCUAGAAGUUCAAUUUGACUUAGUAUGAACAUGUAAUAGUAUGAAUGGACUGGUUUCCCUGGAAAGAAAACUGAGUUUGUGUUCUAUAGUACAAAAGUUAUGAGACACGAAUCAGACAAAUGUUCACUACAACAGGGAUCAAAGGUGAGGUCUGACUGACCUGCCCAUAGUAAAUGUAAAUGAUUUGUUAUUUUGUCCCAUACAUAUGAGUAUAUAUAAUUUAGGGGCGGGGAUCUCAACGGUUUUCAAGUUCUCAAACAGGUAGGGGUAGGCAGAGGAUUUAGGGGGGGGGGGCAGGGGGCCCGGACCCCCUUUUUUGGGAAAAAAAUUGGUUGCUUAUAUAGGGAAUCACUGAAGCGUGACUGGAGCGGGCCCCUCUUAGGUCAGUCAGUGGGCCCAACUUAUGAAAAUUUCUGGAUCCGCCAAUGGGGUAGGGUGACCCUAGGGACUUCCCCUAACAUUUCAUUUUAUUUGUUAUAUUGUCCCAUACAUGAAUAUAUAUGGUUUAGAGGUGGGGAUCUCAUUGGUUUUCAAGUUCUCAAACAGGAGGGGUAGGGUGACCCCAGGGACUCCCCCUAUAUUUCAUUUAAUUAGUUAUAUUGUCCCAUACAUGAAUAUAUAUUGUUUUGGUGUGGGGAUCUCGACCGUUUCCAAGUUUUCAAACAGGAGGGUUGGGAUGACCACAGGGACUUCCCCUAUAUUUCAUUUGAUUUGUUAUAUUGUCCCAUACAUGAGUAUAUAUGGUUUAGGGGUAAGGAUCUUGACCAUUUCCAAGUUCUCAAACAGGAGGGUGAACAGUGACCUCAGGGGGACUCCCCCUAUCUUUCAUUUGAAUUGUUUUAUUGUCCCGUACAUGAAUAUAUAUGGUUAAGGGGUGGCGAUCUCAAUGGGUUCAAAUUCUCAAACAGGAGGGGGUGGGGUGACCAAGGGACUCCCCCUAUAUAUCAUCUGAUUUGUUAUAUUGUCAUACAUGAAUAUAUAUGGUUUUAGGGAUGGGGAUCUCGACCAUUUUUAAAUUCUAAAACAGGAGGGGUGGGGUGACCCCUAGCGACUCUUCCUAUAUUUCAUUUUGAUUUUUUAUAUUGUCAAAACAUGAAUAUAUAUGGUUAAGGGGUGUGGAUCUCGACCGUUUCCAAUUCUCAAACAGGAGGGGUGGGAUAACUCCAGGGACUCCCCCUAUAUAUUUCAUUUUUAUUUAUUAUAUUGUCCUAUACUUGAAUAUUAUGCAGGGGCGGAUUCAGACGGGGGAGGGUUGCAGGCUUGCACCCCCUUAAAUUUGCAAAGCAUGGGUUGUUCUCAGCUUGAUAAAGAAUAUUCCGAUAAUUUUACCUAAAUUUUUUUUAGCCUCGCUCUGCUCGUCGAAAAUUUAAGUUUGCGCCCCUCUUAACCUAAAAUCCUAGAUCUGCCCCUCAUAUGGUUUAGGGUGGGGAGCUGGACCGUUUUCCAAGUUAUCAAACAGGAGGGGGUAGAGUGGCCCAAAGAAUGCCACCUAUAUAUCAUAUGAUUUACUUACAUUAAGGUAUAUAAUAAUAUAGUUGUAUUAUUUGUGAAAAAAUAAAGAAAGAAACUUUCAGCUACUUUAAUUGACCCUUCAAAAUUGAGAAAAAAAAACAAAUAACCCCUCGAAAUUGCAGGUAAUAUGUUUACACUUUAAAGCAUCUCACAUGCAUUAUCAUCAUUAUCAUUUAUAAAGAAAAUUUAGACUGUGACCAUGACCAUGUGUAUAUUGUUAGAUAUACUGUUCCAUGCUGUCACGUUGUAUUGGAUUUUUAAAUCAAAAUUUGUCAAAAAGUAAUUUUGAGUUUCUGAAUAAAAUAUUUUUGUGCUUUUUUCUUUUACAUAUAUCUUUUGGUUUACAAUACUAGUGUUUAUAUUCAUUUACCAUGCAUAGAUGUAUUUUUACACCUGCUUGGAUUUAUUUUGAAAAUGAUUGCCAAACCCGGAAUUACCCUUAUCCGCUUCCGGAAUCAGAUCCGAUUUUGUAAAAUUUGUCUUCACGGCCGCCCAUUGUUAUGUGUUUACAAUGUUGUUUUUGUCAAUCAGAUACGAUUUUACUCGAAUUUAUACAAUAUUUGUCGGCGAUUUCUAUAUAAAGCUAGCGGUUGAACAAAAUGAACAUCGCCGUCAUGAAUAAUAAUGAUAAAAAUAAGUUUUAGCUNNNNNNNNNNNNNNNNNNNNNNNNNNNNNNNNNNNNNNNNNNNNNNNNNNNNNNNNNNNNNNNNNNNNNNNNNNNNNNNNNNNNNNNNNNNNNNNNNNNNNNNNNNNNNNNNNNNNNNNNNNNNNNNNNNNNNNNNNNNNNNNNNNNNNNNNNNNNNNNNNNNNNNNNNNNNNNNNNNNNNNNNNNNNNNNNNNNNNNNNNNNNNNNNNNNNNNNNNNNNNNNNNNNNNNNNNNNNNNNNNNNNNNNNNNNNNNNNNNNNNNNNNNNNNNNNNNNNNNNNNNNNNNNNNNNNNNNNNNNNNNNNNNNNNNNNNNNNNNNNNNNNNNNNNNNNNNNNNNNNNNNNNNNNNNNNNNNNNNNNNNNNNNNNNNNNNNNNNNNNNNNNNNNNNNNNNNNNNNNNNNNNNNNNNNNNNNNNNNNNNNNNNNNNNNNNNNNNNNNNNNNNNNNNNNNNNNNNNNNNNNNNNNNNNNNNNNNNNNNNNNNNNNNNNNNNNNNNNNNNNNNNNNNNNNNNNNNNNNNNNNNNNNNNNNNNNNNNNNNNNNNNNNNNNNNNNNNNNNNNNNNNNNNNNNNNNNNNNNNNNNNNNNNNNNNNNNNNNNNNNNNNNNNNNNNNNNNNNNNNNNNNNNNNNNNNNNNNNNNNNNNNNNNNNNNNNNNNNNNNNNNNNNNNNNNNNNNNNNNNNNNNNNNNNNNNNNNNNNNNNNNNNNNNNNNNNNNNNNNNNNNNNNNNNNNNNNNNNNNNNNNNNNNNNNNNNNNNNNNNNNNNNNNNNNNNNNNNNNNNNNNNNNNNNNNNNNNNNNNNNNNNNNNNNNNNNNNNNNNNNNNNNNNNNNNNNNNNNNNNNNNNNNNNNNNNNNNNNNNNNNNNNNNNNNNNNNNNNNNNNNNNNNNNNNNNNNNNNNNNNNNNNNNNNNNNNNNNNNNNNNNNNNNNNNNNNNNNNNNNNNNNNNNNNNNNNNNNNNNNNNNNNNNNNNNNNNNNNNNNNNNNNNNNNNNNNNNNNNNNACUUUGGGUUGUGUGAGACGGGUAUUGUGAUUUUAACUAUAGUCGCCGUCAGCUGAAAUUCGUAGCGGUUAUCGGUAAAAAUAAUCUAAACUAUUCAAUCGCGUUCACUCGAGAUAUAGUUUUUCACAUUCCAUUCAUAAAUCGCAAAAAGAAUCAAAGCGCUGAAGGCAGUUAACCAAAAACCAAGGGCAACCGUUAUUAUGAAAACUGUUGCAAUGUUGCCUCAACAUUAAACAUUCAUAUAUGAGUACAUUCAUGUUUAUCUAAUGAUUUAUUUAUUAAGGCAAAUAAUUUAUAUGUUAUCAAGGUUUUCAAAAGCAAUGCAUAUAUCAAUGUAUAUUUUUUAUGGUGAGUCUGCAGUGGUACAAGUUCCCAAAGAUUGCAGUUGUUCUACUUGGUAGUUAACCUUGGUUUUUAUUUGACUGCUAGAAGUUCAAUUUGACUUAGUAUGAACAUGUAAUAGUAUGAAUGGACUGGUUUCCCUGGAAAGAAAACUGAGUUUUGUGUUCUAUAGUACAAAAGUUAUGAGACACGAAAUCAGACAAAUGUUCACUACAACAGGGAUCAAAGGUGAGGUCUGACUGACCUGCCAUAGUAAAUGUAAAUGAUUUGUUAUUUUGUCCAUACAUAUGAGUAUAUAUAAAUUUAGGGGCGGGGAUCUCAACGGUUUUUCAAGUUCUCAAACAGGUAGGGGUAGGCAGAGGAUUUAGGGGGGGGGGGCAGGGGGCCCGGACCCCCUUUUUUGGGAAAAAAAUUGGUUGCUUAUAUAGGGAAUCACUGAAGCGUGACUGGAGCGGGCCCCUCUUAGGUCAGUCAGUGGGCCCAACUUAUGAAAAUUUCUGGAUCCGCCAAUGGGGGUAGGGUGACCCUAGGGACUUCCCCUACAUUUCAUUUUAUUUGUUAUAUUGUCCCAUACAUGAAUAUAUAUGGUUUAGAGGUGGGGAUCUCAUUGGUUUUCAAGUUCUCAAACAGGAGGGGUAGGGUGACCCCAGGGACUCCCCCUAUAUAUUUCAUUUAAUUAGUUAUAUUGUCCCAUACAUGAAUAUAUAUUGUUUUGGGUGUGGGGAUCUCGACCGUUUCCAAGUUUUCAAACAGGAGGGUUGGGAUGACCACAGGGACUUCCCCUAUAUUUCAUUUGAUUUGUUAUAUUGUCCCAUACAUGAGUAUAUAUGGUUUUAGGGGUAAGGAUCUUGACCAUUUCCAAGUUCUCAAACAGGAGGGUGAACAGUGACCUCAGGGAACUCCCCCUAUCUUUCAUUUGAAUUGUUUUAUUGUCCCGUACAUGAAUAUAUAUGGUUAAGGGGUGGCGAUCUCAAUGGGUUUCAAAUUCUCAAACAGGAGGGGGUGGGGUGACCCAAGGGACUCCCCCUAUAUAUCAUCUGAUUUGUUAUAUUGUCAUACAUGAAUAUAUAUGGUUUAGGGAUGGGGAUCUCGACCAUUUUUAAAUUCUAAAACAGGAGGGGUGGGGUGACCCCUAGCGACUCUUCCUAUAUUUCAUUUGAUUUUUUAUAUUGUCAAAAACAUGAAUAUAUAUGGUUAAGGGGUGUGGAUCUCGACCGUUUCCAAGUUCUCAAACAGGAGGGGUGGGAUAACUCCAGGGACUCCCCCUAUAUUUCAUUUUUUAUUUAUUAUAUUGUCCUAUACUUGAAUAUAUGCAGGGGCGGAUUCAGACGGGGGAGGGUUGCAGGCUUGCACCCCCUUAAAUUUGCAAAGCAUGGGUUGUUCUCAGCUUGAUAAAGAAUAUUCCGAUAAUUUUACCUAAAUUUUUUUUAGCCUCGCUCUGCUCGUCGAAAAUUUAAGUUUGCGCCCCUCUUAACCUAAAAUCCUAGAUCUGCCCCUCAUAUGGUUUAGGGGUGGGGAGCUGGACCGUUUCCAAGUUAUUCAAACAGGAGGGGGUAGAGUGGCCCAAAGAAUGCCACCUAUAUAUCAUAUGAUUUACUUACAUUAAGGUAUAUAUAAUAUAGUUGUAUUAUUUGUGAAAAUAAAGAAAGAAACUUUCAGCUACUUUAAUUGACCCUUCAAAAUUGAGAAAAAAAAACAAAUAACCCCUCGAAAUUGCAGUAAUAUGUUUACACUUUAAAAGCAUCUCACAUGCAUUAUCAUCAUUUAUCAUUUAUAAAGAAAAUUUAGACUGUGACCAUGACCAUGUAUAUUGUUAGAUAUACUGUUCCAUGCUGUCACGUUGUAUUGGAUUUUUAAAUCAAAAUUUGUCAAAAAGUAAUUUUGAGUUUCUGAAUAAAAUAUUUUUGUGCUUUUUCUUUCUUUUACAUAUAUCUUUUGGUUUACAAUACUAGUGUUUAUAUUCAUUUACCAUGCAUAGAUGUAUUUUUUACACCUGCUUGGAUUUAUUUUGAAAAUGAUUGCCAAACCCGGAAUUACCCUUAUCCGCUUCCGGAAUCAGAUCCGAUUUUGUAAAAUUUUGUCUUCACGGCCGCCAUUGUUAUGUGUUUACAAUGUUGUUUUUGUCAAUCAGAUACGAUUUUACUCGAAUUUAUACAAUAUUUGUCGGCGAUUUUCUAUAUAAAGCUAGCGGUUGAACAAAAUGAACAUCGCCGUCAUGAAUAAUAAUGAUAAAAAUAAGUUUUAGCUCGUUUAAUUGGAGACUUUGGUGAACAUGGUGAAAAGGUUUGCAAAGUAAUUUCUUAUUUUCUUUCAAAUGGAAGGUGACUACGUACGUCGGUCGUAGCUAAAUGUAGAAACCAACUAUCCUAGUCGAAAUUCCGCUUGCAAAAGUUGAAGGUCGCGGACCUCGGACCACCGCUAAUUUGAACACCUGCCUCCAAAUUGAAAAGCUACGAAAAUGUCUUUUUCUAAUUUGAAAUUGCCGCCAACAGCAUGAACAGUUGAACUUAUUAUAUAAUAGACUACUGACGUAGUUGUACUACGUAUUGAUGACAAACAAUAUUCCUACGACUUUUGUCAUUUGGGAAAUCUAAACUACUUGUCUUAAGAGAUUUUCGGCGAUUAAAUAUUUCAUACAAUUGUUCUUUGACAUCUUAGCUAAAAGCACAAGUCCUAAUGAACUACACAAGGAUUCUUAAAAAGCACUACUUCCUAUGUGUAACUUUAAAACUUUUGGAUAAAUCGACGAUCAUUAAGGUUUUUUUCUGGUAAUUAGGGCCCCGCCGACUAAGGCGGGUCGCCCUAUAGUGAUCAGUCUGUCCGUCCGUCCGUCCGUCCGUCCGUCCGUAACACUUUAACUUUGUGUCCGCUCUAUAUCUUAAAAACCGUUAUGAUUUCAAAGUUUAUACUUGACAUCCAUUUUAACCAACACCAGAGGGUGUGUCAUGAUGUAUGUAAAACUUCCUAGGUCAAAGGUCAAGGUCAAAAACUUUAAUUUCAGUUGACAACCCUGUGUCCUGUGGUGAAGAUCGUGUCCGCUCUAUAUCUUGAGAACCGUUAUGAUUUCAAAGUUUAUACUUGACAUGUAUAUGAACCAACACCAGAGGGUGUGUCAUAAUUUAUGAACGACUGCCUAGGGCAAAGUUCAAGGUCAAAAACUUUGGUUUCAGUUGACAACCCCAUGUCCUAUGGUAAAGAUUGUGUCCGCUCUAUAUCUUGAGAACCGUUAUCAUUUCAAAGUUUAUACUUGACAUGUAUAUAAACCAACACCAAAGGGUGUGUCAUAAUUUAUGUGCAACUUCCUAGGUCAAAGGUCAAGGUCAAAAACUUUGGUUUCAGUUGACAACCCCAUGUCCUAUGGUAAAGAUCGUGUCCGCUCUAUAUCUUGAGAACCGUUAUCAUUUCAAAGUUUAUACUUGACAUGUUUAUAAACCAACACCAAAGGGUGUGUCAUAAUUUAUUUACAACUUCCUAGGUCAAAGGUCAAGGUCAAAAAACUUUGAUUUCAGUUGACAAACCCAUGUCCUAUGGUAAAGAUACAAUUUUUUAAUGCACAUUAUUCACAGCGGGGCCCACAGAGAUGGCUCCCAUCUCAAUGAUAUCUAGUUUUUUUUGUAAUCCAGAAUAAAAAGUAUUAAAAAAGUGUUCAAUUAGUUAUAUAUAAUAUAGUAGCAAGCUAGAUAAUAACAAUGGCAAAUAUUUCAGGAUUUAUUGGGUAGAACAGAAAUCUAGGGUGCUCGCAUAAUGGAGCUUAACUGCAUAAAAACCACUACUGACCUACCUUUUAAGUGAUCGCACUGUAAUAAUCCUGACCUUCACUUUUUCAUAGACGAUUUUGAAUGGUGGAAUCAGCCAUUGUUUUUACCGGAAGUGUUUCCGUGGAGUUCACUUUCAUAAAAGUUGCAUAAAGCGCGGGAAACCUUAUCACAUCAAUGAAAGGAACAAUGCAGGAAACUGCGUACAGUGACGAAUGUCGUAUGUAAACAAAUGAUCCUCAUAGAAGCCGGCAGAAUUACAAUGGAAAAUAUUCUGGAAAAUGUGAAGGUCAGGAUUAUAAUUACAGUGUGAUCACUUAAAAGGUAGGUCAGAAGUGGUUUUUCUUUUUGCGAUUUAUGAAUGGAAUGUGAAAAACUAUAUCUCGAGUGAACGCGAUUGAUAGUUAAGAUGAUUUUUACCGAUAACCGCUACGAAUUUCAGCUGACGGCGACUAUAUGUCAUGCGUUGAAACGUUUUAUCUGAAAAAUAAAAACUGCAAAAGUGUAUUUCCUUGAAAAAUAAUUAGUCAACAAUGCGAAUUGUGUUGAAUGACAGCAUGUUUGGGAAUCAUAUACCAAAAACAAAUAUUGAAGAUACAUUUAAAACAUGAAAAAUAUUUUCACGCUUUUACUUCAAGUUUUUAUGUGUACAUGUAUUUAUAAAUAUUUUCCUUUCUGUUUCAGUUCAUUAUCACAGGAAUUAUAGGGAUUUUAUGUGCUAAAAGGAAAUCAUCAUACGUGGUAAGGUCAUGAUUUACUUUUCUGUAUUAUAAACCUCACAAAAAUCAUCUUCAAAGACAAAAGUUUGGAAAACAUAUAUCUAAAUCAGAUACAGUCAGGCGACUACUUAUUGGUCGAUCUUUGGUGUUUAACACGAAAAAGAAUAUGUGGUAGGAAUGUCAAUGAGACAAAUCAUCACAAUAGACCGAAUGACACAGAAAUUAACAACUAUAUGUCACGGUACGACCUUCAGCAAUGGGCAAAGCCCGUACCACUUUCAACACUUUUGGCUGUUCUGUUUUGUAAUGGUCAGUUUUAGGAAAUCGCCGGGAGGCUCUGCAUGAAAAAAGUAAAAUAACAAAAAAAACUGUUACAGAGUUCCAAAGAAAAUUCAAAACAGAAAGUCCAGUAUCACAUUGAAAAAUCAAAAGCUCAAACACAUCACACGAAUGAAUAACAACUGUCAUAUUCCUAACUUGGUACAGGUAUUUCCUUAUGAAGAAAAUGGUGGAGUAAACCAAGUUUUAUAACUAGCUAAAUCUCUUACUUGUAUGACAGUGGCAUUAUGUUAAAACAAUGUGUGAGCAAACAAACAUACCAGUCAGGUCAAAAAGAAAAAAAAAUGGGUACAGAUGUCAACAUUGUGUAAUAAUCUGAAUCAUAUUUAAAACAAGUUAUUAUUCUAAAGAAAAACAAAAUGGCAUGUAAACACCAUCUUGGGGUUUAAAAAAAUGGUUGGUUAAGAAAUUUAACCGUAAAAAUGUAAUCCUAAAUAUAUUUCAGACGUUUUUUCAUUUAUAUCGAAACACCUUGAUGUUUUAUGUAAUUGUUAACUUUCCUAUAAUAAUGUUUUGAUCUAUUAAAAACAAAUAAAAAAUAAAAAUAAAAUCUAUGAUUUCAUUGAUAAUUGCUUAAAAAGUUGUUUUUCUUUGUAACAAGUAAACGAGAUCGUAGUCAAUAAAUCUACCCCCGCAACGUGAUUACAAAAUUCUGUCGUCAAUUAAAUUUCAUAUUUUUUACAUUCCCCAUUUAUUCUCUUCAUAGAAAGGAUACAUUUGAUAUCCCAUAACUAAGAAACAAGAUUGAUAACUUAUUUCUUUUGCUUAAAUUACAUUCACUACCGAGAAAUGUUAUUGAAACCCUUACCAUCUAAGCAAUUUUGGAUUUAAAAUUAUUUUUUUUUAGAUCAUGAGCUUUAUAGCACUGUCCGUAGUAUCCAUAGUUACAGCCGUGGUCAGUAUUCAGCUUCUUCGUCUUGGACUAGUGAAUCAUACGACAGAUGGACACACUUUUCAGAAAGAAAACAAAGACAUUUUAAUACUGAUAGCGUUGGCCGUAGCAGGAACAGAAUGUCUUGUUUGUAUACUAUCAUCUAUUCUUAGCUGUAGAGUAGCAAAAAUAGCGAAAGAAGAAAUGUUCAAACAAAGAGAGGGAAUGUUUUAUGUCAAGGUACUUGGUCAAAAAGACAUAGUCGUUGUUACCAAACCUUUGCUAACAAGAGAUGAAAAUACAGCACUUUGAUCAAAAAGCGUUAGAGAAAUAGAAGUUCAUAUCUUUACACAAGCACUGUCGCAUUGCAUUUACGAAAUUACAGUAUAAAUAAAGACACUCAUUUAUCAAAUCAAUAUAACCUUGCGUAUCACUUAAACUUUCCAACAUGACAGCAAAUGAUGUGUAUCUACAUUGUAGACAUUAAAAAUGGAAUGGAUCGUUGAAUUUGUUAAGAUUUGCAAACAACACAAUAAAGUUUAAUGUUGUAACAUUCAUAUGCAUUUUAUUUAUCCUUAACCUAAUAUUCUAUCAAUCGCUUUUUUAACCCAUACUCUAUAUACGUUAUCACAUUUCAUUCAGUUUUGAUUUUGUAUUUUAUGAACAAUCCUUUCUGUGUCUAUAAAUCAACACUUAUCUGUGAAUAUCCGGCUUUGUAAUAACAUGAGCAACACAACGGGUGCCACAUGUGGAGCACGAUCUGCUUACCCUUCCGGAGCACAUGAUAUCUGUGAAUAUCCGUUUCACAUAUGAUAUCAAAGAUGUUCCUAAUGUCGUAACUACAAUCCCGUCCGUUUCUUUUCCACGAAUGUGACCUACCGAAUUAGACUAUUUACCGGGUUUGCAAUGAAAUUAGAAACACGACGGGUGCCACAUGAAGAGCAGGAUAUGCUCACCCUUUCGGAGAAUGCUGUCAUCACCCCAAGUCUUGUUGCUUUGUCUUUAGUCUUAUUUGUUGUGUCUUGUGUACCAUUGUUUGUCUUUUCCUUUUUAGUCCUGUCGUUGUCUAUUUGAUCUAUGAGUUUGAAUUUUCAGUAAAGUCGUCUGUACGAAAAAAAAUUAUCAUAGAAUUUAAAAAAAAACAACACUUCAGUUUCAAAAAAUAUUAUCCAAAAAACUAUAAAAGUCGCGAAAUGGAGUUUUUCCUUAUAAAAAUCGUGUCAUACUGGUUCCAACGAAUAGUCUACUUUCGGAUUGUGGAGGGAUUGUCCGAAGAACACAUGUAUAGUAAGUAUUGAAUUUUCCUGAUUAUUUUCAUUUUUAUGAGGACGAACAGUAUUAUUGUUGUAAAUAAUUUAUCCCAACAAUUAUAUAUACCCAGUUAAGUCUUUUUAUUUGCAAGGUCCAUGCACACUUCUCUUUUGUAUGCUUUAAUUGUAUAUCUUAAUCAUUAACUAUAUGGCUUAAAUUAUCAUUGCAAUAGGACUCUAUAUACAUGUACUGUUAAUUUUACAAUACCUUUACUGCUUGCAAUUCCUAAUCUAUGCUCCAAUGUGUUUAUUCUGAUAUAAAAAUAUUGUAUAUUUAAGAAUUCAUAACAUCACGAACACGGAAUUUAUCAAUUAAAUGUAAAUUGUAUGGAUAUAAGUCGUUGAUAAAUUAAGAACUCACAUACAACAUUUAAGUUAUCAUCUUAUAUUGAAAAAUUUGUUGUUAAUACUGAAUUUUCCUUUACUUUUUUUAAAGGAUGAUUCAAAAGAAGUCAAUGAUGAAGUCCAAUCGCAACUUGACACAGAAGAAACAAUUUACAGAGAAGAAACAACAGAAACAACUGAUUUACACGUUGAAAUACAAUCACAGUUCUUUUACAAUGAUGCCUUUAUAAAAGACGAAGAAAACCAUUUUGUAUUCAUUUCGGAUUAAAGCACCAUUAUGCAAAGUUCAAAUGUUGUAAUUAUUUUUAUUAAAGGGGCACUAGCUACGAGACAUAUAAAAAAUCAAAAAUUUGAUAUUUUUCUGGUCAAUCAAUAAUGAAAGUGAAAUAGUGAAAUAACAAUUCGCCUUUUGCAGCCAAAAAGGUUCAAUUUUGUCAAAUUACGCUAAGAAACAUUGAUAAUUAGUUAUUCACUUGCAAGUGAAUGAGUCGACCUCUUUAAAUCCGUAUUCAUGCGAACUUCAAUUUAACCCCUAGCUAGAGAUUGACAACGCAUGCAUUGUACGUGUACUGGUUAUUUUUAAAAGAAAAAAAUGUCAACAAUGAAAGUGAAACUACGGUAAAUCAAUUGAUUACUAAUUCGAUGCACAUAAAAUCAUUCUUAUACGAUUAAAAACAAUGAGAAACAUAUGUUUUUAAUCUAUGAAAUAAAAUCAAACAGACCUAUAAAAAUCCAAUUGCACGUGUUGGUUUAAUCUAUUCAUAUCUUUAUUUAUGUUUACAUCGCUUAUAUGGUCAUCUGAGGUCAAAUCGAUAGUUAAUUAGAUGGUGUCUGCACUCAAAUACACACGAAACGAACCUAUAUAUUAUCUAUCCCAUGCUCUGUAAACUGUUUAUUUUAGACUUUUGAUAGUUUGGAUAAAUGUUUUACGUUGUUAUAAAUCAAAUAUAAGAAUUUGAGUCAAAUCGGUGACCAUGAAUUUGACAGCUAGUGCCCCUUUAAAGUCACCCGUUGUCCUAAUCAAAGUUUUCGUUAAGCAUAAAAACUUGUUCAAAAUUUGUUUUAGGGAUUUUGAUAAUGAUAACCGCCAAAUAUUUGUUUUAACAGAAACUUGCACGGAUUUCGUUAAAAUAAAAUCUCAUUCUAUUUAAGAAAAAAACCGUUUCUUUGUCUGAAAUAAGCCAAUGCUUACAUUUUGUACUCUACUGUGCAUGUUUUCACGGAAUUUUGUGUUUUCUAAUAACAAAUAUAAUAUGUCGUAAUUUAUUAUAUUGCUAUAUAAAGAUCAGUUGUAACCAAAUAACAUGGUUAUAGAGAUACACAAUAUAAUGUACGACAUUUAAAAACAUACGUGGUACUAAGAGAUGUUGUAUGAUUCCAAUGAGACAAUUGUCCAACAAAGUUUAAAUAAAGUGGAUUUAAACAAUUACAGGCAGCCGUACGACCUUGAACAAUGACUGAAUGAGAAACACCGUGUAGUCGGCUAUAAAAGUCCUCGACAUGAAAAUUAUUAAACCGUUUAAUCCAGAAAACUAAUAGGGGCUUACUGAUGAAUAUCAACAAUUUACGAAAACAAAUAUGAUAGAUAUGAACCAACGAAAACCACUGACCUAUGGAAUCACUGAGCACAUAGAGAAUGUGGUGGGGUUACAUUUUGAGAAUGUGAUGGGGUUACACAUAGAGAAUGUGGUGGGGUUACACAUGUUUGGAAGCACUGAGCACAUAGAGGAUGUGGUGGGGUUACACAUGUUUGGAAGCACUGAGCACAUAGAGGAUGUGGUGGGGUUACACAUGUUUGGAAGCGCUCAAUAGAGAAUAUGGUGUGGUUACACAUGUUUGGAAGCGCUCAAUAGAGAAUGUGGUGGGGUUACACAUGUUUGGAAGCACUCAAUAGAGAAUGUGGUGGGGUUACACAUGUUUGGAAGCACUGAGCACAUAGAGAAUGUGGUGGGGUUACACAGGUUUGGAAGCGCUCAAUAGAGAAUGUGGUGGGGUUGCACAUGUUUGGAAGCGCUCAAUAGAGCAUGUGGUGGGGUUACACAUAGAGCUUGUGGUGGGGUUACACAUAGAGAAUGUGGUGGGGUUACACAUGUUUGGAAGCACUAAGCACAUAGAGAAUGUGGUGGGGGUUACACAGGUAUGGAAGCGCUCAAUAGAGAAUGUGGUGGGGUUGCACAUGUUUGGAAGCGCUCAAUAGAGAAUGUGGUGGGGUUACACAUGUUUGGAAGCGCUCACUCAUCCACCUAAUCUCGGACAGUGCUACUACAGCACAACAUAAGAACAAAUUAUAAAGAUCAGUUGAAAAGGCUUAGCUCAUCAGAUCAAUUCAAAUUAGAAAACAUAUAACUAGAUCACAGACCGGACGUGGCAGGAUAUUUAUGUAUCUUAACGACACCAAAAGACAUAAAGUACAUAUCUGAGAGUACUCGCGGUCAUUAACAGCUAGUUCAAGGCCAAUAACAAUUAAUACAAAAAACUUAGGUAUUUACGACUAAAAUAUAAAUCGGUAACCAUUCAAAAUCUGAUGGAUUUCAUGUAGAGACGUAAUUAACAGUCAGAGAAAAACUAGACUUUGCGCGAAUUGAAAUAUAGGUAUUGACAAAUUGUAGUUCCGUCAAAGUGCACAUGUGUAUUACGAUAAUAUAUGGUAUGGUUUUAAUUCAGUAAUAAACAAAAUCUUUAUUUAUACCACUAAAACAGUAAUCAAAUAUCAAAUAAUGUAUGUAUUGUAUCAAAACGAAUUUGCCAUCAUAUUGAUUGUACUAAAAUUCACGAUUAGCCUUUAAAGUUUCCGGUUGUACUAUGUAUAUAAUAUUUGACAAUAAGGUACUUAAAAAAUAGUAAAAUAUAAAAAAUAACGAACUGCGAGGAAAAUUCAAAACCGGAAGACCCUCAACGAAUGGCAAAAUCAACACUCAUAUACACUCCAAACGAAUGAAGAACAAUUGUCACAUUCCUGACUGAAUACAGGCAUUUACUGAUGGAUGUAGAAAAUGGUAGAUUGAAACUGGUUUAAUAGCUAGCUUAACUUCUCACUUGUAUGUCAGUCGCUUAAAAUUCUAUUAUAUUGACAAUAUUGUGUAAACAAUCUCAAAUAUUGGUGUGCAUCAGUCAACAUUGCGUUAUAAUCUUAAUCAAUACAAAAUAAACAAAUUUGUCAACUAAGAAAUACAAAAAGGCAGAAAGAUAAAACACAUAAACAGAAACGAAAGACAAGAAUACAAAAAUUACCCUAUCACAAUAACGGGAUGUAUAAGUACCAAACCACAUAUUACUAAAAAUAGACUAAACAGUUAACGUAAAAAUUUACAAAGACAAAUACAAGAACACAAUAAAUAUAUAGCAUGUACUUUAGAUGAUAAACAACGUCAAUACCUAGAAUCUAUACUUCAAGACCAUCAUUCAAUGGCCGUCGAAAGUUUUGAGUUGGUUCAUUAGUGUUUUUUGUUUUAAAUAUAAAUUAAACUGUUGGUUUUUCUCUUUGACCGGUUUUAUAGUGGUAUUUUUGCUGGCUUCUUAUAGCUGUUCGAUGUGAGCCAAGGCUCCGCGAUGAAGGUCCUAUCAUGGUUUACUUUUACAAAUUGUGACUUGGAUAUUCGUUUGAUGUGUUUGAGCUUUCGAUUUUGCCAUUUGAUGAGUCUUUCCGUUUAACAUUUCCCUGAUACGGAAUAUUUAUAAACAACGUCUUUGUCGCUUUUUAAUUAAAAAAAAAAGGUCAAGACGUUCUUUGACAUAACCGUGGUUCCGAAACUUUUUGCUCAGACACUGGUGACAUUUUAAAAUGUCUGAGUAGCAACUGCAAGCUGUUAAGUACCGAAUGAGUUAUGGAAAUAUAUACCCCAUAUGCAGGUGAAGUUGGUAUAUUGAUUCUAAGGUGUAGGAAAAUUAAAAUUGGCUCGUUUGUCAUAGAUUCUAGUAGUUAGUUGACCGCUUGUGUCAAAUUCCAAGUAUUAUCUCAAAAAGAGAAAGCUGUGUCUCUUGUUCCUUUUAAGUUUGUCCUGUUAAUGGAAUUUAAUCAAAAACGUUUUGAUUGUUAUUGAAAUGAGCAUCAUCAAUAUAUCUGAUUGGGAGAUUAACAGUACUAGCUUCCUUCCUUUAUCUUCUGGUUUUUGACAAUUGGAUUAAGAAACUCUGACUAAUACAAAAAUUAGAAAAGGCCGAUAAGGAGAGGAAUACAAUUCGUUCCCAUUAUAAUGCCAACAAUUUGUUGAAAAAAGUCAAUGUUGUCAAUAAGAAACUCCAGCAUAUUGGAUCAUUUGUUCCUCUUUGUAGCAUGCUUUACAUUUUUGUUCACUGAUAAACUGAUCUGCAGUAUUGUAUCACAAAGUAAUAAAUUUAUAGCGUAUGCUUUCAUUUUUACGUUGAAUAGCAUUUAGGACUAUUACUUGUAGACGAUAUUUCCAUUUAGCAUGGGGAAUGGUGGUAUACAGGUUAAAAAAUCAAAAGUUUGAUAGAAAUUAUUUCGGAGAUAAAUCGAGAUUUAAAUUAUCAAAAAGUUUUUUUUUAUAUUUUUUUUAGAAUUUACAACUGAUUAUACCACUACGCAAGUAAACAGUUUCACAGUAUUUCCGAACACCCGCUUUCACUGCGGACAGAAUUUUUGGUCAAUCUAAUGGACAAUUCCUUUGUCGAACAUGCAGGGGAGUAGGCAAUGUAACGUUGUUUGUACGGUAUUUUGUGAAGCUUAUGUAUCCAAUGCAAACAACUUAAACACAGAUAUUACUGCAUGCAGUGUUACCCAUGAUUUCCUUAAGAAGUAUUUAAAUAAAGGUUAAAUAUAAUACAAAUAUGGACCAUUCAAGCACUCCUUAAAUGGAGCGCUCGACUUAUAUGAAAAAGCACGAGGUUUUAGGAUGAUAAAGUUGUUCAGGUCUUCAGAACUUAUCACAAUAUUCAUCCCUGCGGAAGAUGAUAAAAUUAACAAACAGUUGAGUCGCUCUAGACAUGCUUGAUAUGGUUCACUAUGUUCCUUUGGAAUAUCAACCAAAGAUGAAGAACUGGAUCUUCCAUCACUGUAUUGGAUACCUAAACUACAUACUAGUACGUGUCCUUACAAACAACGGUAUAUUGCUGGGUCUUCCAAGUGCUCCACGAAAUCUCUUUCAAAUUAUUAACAUCAUUUUUAUCAGCAAACAAAGACGAUCUUCAAAGUUAUGUGAAACUGCCUAUUCUAGAGUGUGGUGUAAUCAAGUGGAUACUUAAAAAAUCCAAAGAUCUUUUAGAGUACAUACAAUCUAACUCUCUUUCAUCUUGUAACAGUAUUAAAAUAUUUGACUUUUCUACUCUUUACACAUGUAUUCCGAAUUCCAAACUAAAGGACAAAUUGAAAGAGUUGGUAUUGCUUUGCUUCAUAAAAAAAAUGGCCAACGUAGAUACAAGUAUCUUGUCUUGCGGAGGGAUAAAUCCUACUUUGAAAUUCACAAUGAGGGUCGAUUGAAAACAAAACUUUACGACAAAAUAGAUGAUUUCAGCUUUCCAAUUGUGAACUUUCCAUUUCUAAGUAGCAACAUUAAAUAUUACGGACGCCAUCACGAGUUGGUUGACCGUUAUGGAAUAACCGUUUUACAAAUGAUAUCGGAUAUGUUCCUUACGUCGUAACUACAAUUCCCUUCCCUUUCAUGAAUGUGACUUACCGAUUUAGACUAUUUACCGGAUUUGAUAUCACAUAAGCAACACGACGGGUGCUACAUGUGGAGCAGGAUCUGCUUACCCUUCCGGAGCACAUGAGAUCACCUCUAGGUUUUGGUGUGGUUCUUGUUUAUUCUUUAGUUUUCUAUGUUGUGUCAUGUGUACUAUUGUUUGUCUGUUAAUCUUUUUCAGUUGUAGCCAUGGCAUUUAUGAGUUUUAUUGUCCCUCUGCUAUCUUUCGUCCCUCUUUUAUAAAAGAGAUGAUACUCUGUAUUCGUCCUGUUAUUGAAGUUUGCCCCCUCUGUCUUCAUAGCAGUUUGAUGCUAAAAAAUACAUUCGGAUCUUAAAGUGCGUUUUUUUUUCUUCAUAAAUUUUUAAGCUUGCUGUAUUUUCAUUGGCAGGUGUUUUCGCCUUAAAAAAAUCGGAUUAGUUCGGAUUGUUUAGAAUGUUCUCCAUAUAUAUGGUUCAAGGAAUUUCAUAACAUUUUCAAACUUCUGUAUAUCCUCUUUUAUGGAUGCUUCUAGUAAUCUCAUUCGGAUAGAACAUCGCACCGCAGUCUAAUUUUUUAGUCUGUAAGUCUAAUUUUUCGUAUUUUGCUAAGUCUACCUUUUCACUUAUAAUCUUGCUUAUUAACCACUAGUUUUUCAAGGUUUGAUCUCAAGCAUUUGCAGGCGUGGUUAGAACAUUCAAUCUUUUUCACAUGGCAACCCCAAACAAGAACUUUUUCUACAAUUUAAACCAUUAAUAAAAUUGAUUAAUUAAACUGAUUGGAAGAUUAUGUCGACAUCAUAUGAAAUCAAGCGCAAUCCCCCCGUUAAGGGUUUAGUAUCAUACCGUAAAAAAAAAACCACGAGAAAACAUAACCUGUAUCAUGACAACAACUUUCAAAUGGUUUUAGAAAUACAUGUACUCAUUCCCAAUGCAAAGCCCCUAUGAUGGUCAUCCCAAUCAUUUCUAUUAUUGUUAACAAAAAUGAAUAACAUCUGAAUCAAAGUUCUAUUCAUCCUUUCUACUAAUCUAAUUGAGACAUAUAGUGACAAGUACGGGUCUUUUCAAUGUUUAAUAGUGAACACUUUUGGACAAAUAACUAGGACUCAAAAUCUCCUCCCUGGUCUGAAUGGAUUUGACUAAGCAUGUGAAAUCGAUAACUUCAGUAACCAGUUUAUCAGCGACAGUUAAUGCCGUAUGAUUAGGUACAGAAAAAGACUCAGUCCACUGAAAAAUAGUCCGUUAUGACAAUCAAAUAUUCAUUCUAUUUCCUGAAAUCAGACAAGGACCUACAAUGUCAAGGGCAAUUCUAUCAAAUAGACCUCCUACUACUGACUGUUAACGGAUAACGACCUAAUACAGUACCAACUUUAGCUGGUGCACAUUCAUUACAGGUUUAACACCUACGACUUACAAUCUGUUGUCAUUCCUGGCGUUUAUCACGACCUAAAUGACCUGCUACACGCGAAUUAUGUAGUUGUUUUAAAAUUUCAGACUUAACUUCACAAGGAACUACUAAUAAAGCCUUAGUUUCAGAAUUUCCACAAAUAAACAUGUAAUACAGAAUUUUGUUUUGAACAAACAAACGAUCACAAAUGUUCCACAAUACACUGACUGGAUAUAAAAAAAAUCUUAAUGUCUAGGUCAUUAUUCUGCCAAACAGAUAUCUGCUUAUCAGUCCAAAUCAACAACCAAUUUGGAAUCAAACUAUUUUCAAGGUCACCGUUUGCAACCUGGGGUGUAAGAUUAUCCUGUACCAUACAUGUUUUCCAUGUCGUUUCCUGAUAGGAUUUUAUAACUUGUAUAAGCACUAAAGGUAGUGAAUAUGUUUCUAACUGACAAUUGUCAAUGUUUUAGCCGACACAAGAUCUUCGUUAGUACAAUCAGGACUAUCUUCUCAUACAUUUUUUUGGGACGCCUAGAUAAACCACCAGCAUUUGAGUGCAAACUACAAAACCAUGUCAUAAGUAUCCAAUGAACUUAUCUAACGGGCUAUUAUACCUUCAGGAUUUUUGAAGUUUUUUUAGCCAAAUCAAAGAGGCGUGAUCGGUCUUGACCUAACAAAAAAUGUCUAAACUGCUUAACAAAUGUGACAACUGCAAGCAACUCCCUAUAAAUAGUACACUAUUUUCUUUGUAAAUCACUAAGAUUAUUACUGCUAUAUGCAAUAAUUUUCCACACCAUCUUGGAUUUGUGACAAAACGACACCUAGCUAGACCAUUGGCAUUUGCUUCAGUAUAUAAUACAUAUUCACUGUCCUCCCUAGGAUAAACCAAAAUAGGGACCGAAAUCAAUAAUUCCUUUAAUUUACCAAAACCUUUUUGACAAUCGUUAGACCACUUAAAAUUUCUAGCUUUCUUAGUCAACUCCGUGACGGGGGACGCAAUCUCUGAAAAGUUUGAAACAUAUUUCCGGUAAUACCCAGCAAGUCGCAGAAAACUUCUGAUCUCGGUUACCUGAUCUCGGUUACACUUGUUGGAAUUGACCUAUUUUUCACAGUCUCAACUUUAUUUGGAUCGCAACUGGCAUCUUUAUUAGACACUACAUGACCUAAGAACAAAACAUGAGUUUGAAACAUUGUACAUUUACUUGGUUUUAGUUUCAAAUUGGAAGACUUUUUGAAAAAGUAGUCUCAAAUUUCGAACGUCUUUUCAAAUGUUUCUCCAAAUAUAAUGACGUCAUCUAAAUAGCAUAGACAGCGUUUCCACUGAUAGCAUUUAAAUUAAUAGUUGAUCUUUCACUUGGUUUAAUCAUUGGGACUGAACCUUCGGCCUUAAGAUCAUUCCAACCUAAUUAUUUUUAAAUCUUUCCCUUUUACUUCUCAGUCAUUAUUUUCUAUGUUACUGUCAUCCCUAUUUGUAUAGCUACGACGAUAUCUAGCAAUGUGGCAACAUUUUCCAUAUUUCCAACAUUCUUAAGUACAGCUGUAAUAUCCCCUAUAAAAGCAUGGCUACCGCCGUUUUCAUUUUAAGUACUAUUUACUUGGUCUAAUUUUUCUGACAAUUUGCCUACGCAUUCACUAAAUGAUUUAAUUAAUUCUUAUAAUUCAUCAUUCUUUGGAGCUUCAUUAGUCUUAUUAGGGUUUUCAUCUCUUUCAGUUUUGUUUUCAUUGCUGAUAGCUCCGACUGUAAAUGGCCUUUCAUUGUCAAUUGGUUUCCGCGGAGUCAUUUGUACAUUGGUAAAUGCUUCUAAUUCAACAGCAUUCGCAAUAGCGGCCUCAAGUGUUUGCGGAUGUGAUAAUUGGACAUGUUUCCUAUUUCCGUGUGGCAUAAACCAAGUGUGAACUGAUUGAUAACUAGUUUUUCUAGUACAUUGUUGUACUCGUGAUCGGGAUAAGCUAGUCGUACUAGGCGACGUAACGCGUACCAAAAAUCUGCUAAACUUUCUCUCUGUUUGUAUUUGCUUGCUCUGAAUUCACAUUUUCAAGCGGUAACUUGCUCUUUUGGUCUACAUCUUUGGGCUUAUACAUCUUUCAAAGCCGUGUAAUGGUUUACAGCUGAAUACUUUAAACACAAGCAAUUUCUGGGCAGUACUGCGCAAAAUCACGAAUAGGUGUUGUUCUUUUUCAGAAUUUUGUCCAAUUGUUUCAUUAAGCCGUCUGUUCAAAUGAACCAAGUCAUCUUUCCAAUUAACUGACUUUCCGUCAAAAUUUUCCGUUUCUUUUUUCUCUUCGAACAAUAGGAGUGUUAACUCGGAAACGAUCACCCCUUGAAUGAGGAGAAAACUUUUAAUCACCGGUAAUAGAGAAUCUUCCUUAUAAUAAUUUCGCCUAGUGUUGGGUCCACGAUUACUGGUUGAUUCAUAUCGAGAUGUGUUUAAACCGGCAAAUCCACGUUUCAAGUUAAAGCUAUCUCUAUUUCUAUCACUUGUGUAUCUAGAAUCGCGAUUUCAGUACUACCCAUAAGAAUUGCUACUAUAUGACUAAGGACGGCGCGAAUCAGGUUGUUGUUCUAUCUCAAUUAUUACGCAUAUCUUGGUAAUAACGUCUCCCAGAGAGAUCAUUUUUUAAUCUUUCUCUGGUGACAUCUUGAGUCUGGUACAUACGAACGGUCAAUUGUCAAUCUACUCUGAGAUGUUUCGUCGAUAUAAAUUCUCCCCCUCGACGGCGGCAGAGAUUUAGGGGUGGUGUGUCUACUUCACUAAAGCUAACACGUCUUUCCUCCUGUCUCAUAUUAAUACAUUCUAAAUAUAGAUCAUUCUCAUUUGUCCAUUGUAAAUCGGAGCCACGUUCCGCCAUUUUUUAAUUGUUUAUUUAUCUAUUUAAAAAUUGUAAGGAAAUAAGCAAAAUCAAAACAUUUAUUUCUAUCUUGCUGCCAAUAUAUAUACAAAUAUAUUUGUUUUUACUCAGAUCCCCACAUUGGCCACCAAAAAUGAAACAGGAGGGUAAGGCAGCUAUAUGUUGUCGUACCCAGCUGAUACGAAGGGAUCUGAAUUGACCAAUCAAAACACAAAAAAUCCAAAUUUAUUGAGUGCUUUGGGUUAACUGACGACAGAACUAAAACCAUCGAUUUAAACUAAGGACGAAAUCAAGUGGUGUUCCUAGAAAGCAAUUCUAUAUUUCGGUAAUUCAGUCCGUUUGUUCCCCUGGGAUCUGAGCUUCUAUUAUACUGGCAAUAAGAUGCAAUAGUUUGUAAAGUUCUUAUAACUUAUAUAAAACAAAACAUACUGAUAAAAUAAUAUCAACACAAGUGUAAAACGCUUCCGGAUAUGGCUAUAAACUAUGGGCAGUACUGGCAAGGUAGAAUUAAAAAAGACCUUCAUAUCUAACGCAGAAGAACACGCUGUGGUAAUAAACUUGUAACUUAAACUAAAUGGUUUAUAUUACAUUUUAAAGACAACUAAAACAAAAAGGCAAAAAUUUAGAUGCAAAGGCGGAGUGGAAAGUUUACACUAAGUUAAUCAAUUAGAACUCUAAACUUGAAGAAAAGUUUUUUCUCAAUAAAUUUGAUAUCAAAAUACACAAUUAAAUUGUGGUGUAGAAAUACACAUAUUUAUGUAUUGCUACUUCCAGAAAAAUAUAUGAAGAGAGCAACAUACAAUCUACAACAAUAGACAGUUACAUAUACAAUAUGUUAAGUUUUAAAUCACUCGGUAGGAAGUUGGGGAUAAAUGAGUCAACAAAAAAGAUCAGAUCUCUAAGUUCAAAUAAUGUUCAAGUUUCUAGAAAGGGUUUUAAUGAUUUAAGUCAGAGUCAAUAUUUGUUCUUUUGAAAAGAAAAUAUAGAAAGUCCGUUAUUUAAAAUUGUUGAAACUGAUUUUUUGCAAUUAAUAAAAGUUAAAUAGAAAUUUCAAUUUUGACUGCGUUAAAGGGGCACUAGCUACGAGAUAUAUAAAAAAUCUAAAGUAUGAUUUUUUUUUUGUUCAAUCAUUAAUGAAAGUGAAAUGGUGAAAUAAUAAUUUGUUUUUAUCACACAAAAUGGCUCAAUUUGGCCAAAAAGAGGUAAUAAACAUUGAUAAUGAAUUAUUCACUUGCAAGUGUAUAAUACGACCUCGUUUAGUCCGUAUUCAUGUGAACUCCAAUUUAACUCCGUAGAAAGAGAAAGAAUAACGCAUACAUUGUCCGUGUAUGGUUAUUUAAGAAAAAAGAAUGUCAACAUUGAAAGUGAAACAAAGGUAAAUAAUUUGAUUGACUGAUUCGAUCCACAAAAAAAUCAUUCUUAUAAGGGUAAACACGACGUUAAACAUAAAUUUUUAAUAUUUACUACAAAAUUUAACAGACCUAUAAAAAUACAAUUGCACGAGUUGCUUAAUCUACUUAUAUCUAUGUUUAUGUUAACAUCGCUUAUAUGGUCAUAGAAGGUCAACUCGAUAGUUAAUUAGAUAGCGUCUUGGCUAAAAUUCACACGAAACGAAGGUACAUCUUAUUGAGACCAUGUCCUGUAAAAAAUUGUUCAUUUUAUACUUUUGAUUGUUUGGAAAAAUGUUUUACAUUGUUAUAAAUAAAAUAUGAGAAUUUGAGUCAAAUCGGUAAACAUGAAUUUGGCAGCAAGUGCCCUUUUAAUGUAAUCUAUACUAUUAAACGAGAAGACCUCAUUUUGUAUAUCGCUUCUCUUCCUUCCGCAAUAAAUUAAUCAGCAUGCCUCGUCUCAUAUAGGUACCAUGCUUAGUCGCAUUUGUUACCCAUUCUUAUGAUUAUUCAGUUUUGGUUAUUUUGGGAGAAAAACGAAAAAAGGUGUCCGGAUAUUGUUUCCGUCAUCAGACCGACUCAAAAGUCAUAGACAAGACUUCCGGUUUUAAACUUUUAUGAUAAUUUUCAUAGUGGGUCUCAUUUGGGUGUAAGCGUGACGCGGGAUUGCUGUUUGUUUGUAAGCGUGACACGUGAAAGUCAAAUUAUUGUGCCGUGAAAACGGGAAAUGAAGUCUAGUGGGACACGGGAAAUUACAAAAAAUAAGUAUUGCUUACGUACAUAGUGUAAGUUGGAUAUGGGAAUCGGGAUCAGGAUCCCCAAUGAAACCCCCUUCAUAAUUACUCAGAAACAAUCAGGACAAUUAUUUUCGCGUUCUUAUGCAUGCAUACUAUGAUUAUACUCCUCAUAAAUUGAUAAUAAAUAGAGACUCUGUAUAAUAUAGCAGUGAUCGUCGUGGAUAAGAAACUUGGAAUUGGCUCGGGAAAAGGACACUUAUUUUCGCGUUAUUCUGCUAUUCUUCAUGUUUACUAUGAUUAUUCUCCUAUAAUAUAUAGAGACUGUCUAUAUAAUAUAACAGUGAUCGCCUUGGAGAAGGAACUUGGAAUUGAUACUGAGUAUAGUACUAAUAGCAAAUACACUUUAUUUAUAAUAUACGUAUGUUCAUAAUAUACAAAAACUGGGACUAUUACACUAUUAUUAUAAUAGUCCCAGACAGAAAUACGAAAAUUAUGGAAUUUAACAGAAAACAAAAAAAUAACGGACUUUGGAAAAAGGAAGAGGGAUUAAAAUAAUUGUCUUGUCUCCAAGUACCUAUGACUUUUUGUACCUUUUCUGAAAUUCUCAAGACAUACAUUUUUUUACAAAAAAUUAUCCUUUACAUACUUUCAACCAAGAUCUAAAUCUCGGGUGUGUUUUAGUUAUAGUAAACCGAAAAUUGAAGUUAACUGACGAAAUAUGUGCACGCGGCGUUUACUUUAUAUAAUGCUUGGUCUGCAUCCAACUUACUGUAUGUCAAAGAAAGUCUUCUGUUUAUGAAAAAAAGUUAUUUGGAAGAUACAAAGAACAUGCAGAUAAAUAUUCCGAAUUAACUACACAAAUAAAUUAUACAUGGUGGUCUUGAAGUAUAUUUUCUAUCUUUGAGUUUGAAUGUCCCUCUGUUAUAUUUCGCAGCUCUUUUAUAGGUACUGACGUUGUUUGUCAGUGGUUUGUCAUCAUGAUUAAAAGAUAAAGUUCCCCCUAUUCGUUGAUUUCCUCUUAUAGUUUAUAUGUUUCUCUCGGUUUUGGUUUGUAAUCCUGAUUUGUUUUCGCUCAAUCGAAUGAUGACUAUUGAACAGCGGUAUAGUACUGCUGUCGUUAUUUCUGAUUAAAGAGAACGUAUAAAAGGGAAUAAUCAUUUAGAGUCAACAACAAGAAUGUGUCCAAAGUACACGGAUGACCCACUCGCACUAUCAUUUUCCAUGUUCAAUGGACCGUGAAAUUGGGAAAAAAAAACUACCUUGACCAAAAACUUUAACCUGAAACUCGCACUUUCAUUUUCUAUGUUCAGUGGACCGUGAAAUUGGGGUCAAAAGUCUAAUUUGGCUUAAACAUUAGAAAGAUCAUAUCAUAAGCAACAUGUGUAAUAAGUUACAAGUUGAUUGGACUUUUUUUUAUCAAAAACUACCUUGACCAAAAACUUUAACCUGAAGCGGGACAGACGGACGGACGGACAGACGGAGACACAGACCAUAAACAUAAUGCCCCUCUAAUAUCGUAGGUUGGGCAUAAUAAACAAAAAUUUAUUAACGAACAAUCAUGUCAUAACUGAAGUACUGACUACUCAGUUGAUGAUACUCGGUUAUUGAUAGGCUACAAGCAGCAGUAUUAACCUAGUGUUGUUGAAAGAGUAGACAACCCCUCAUCACAAAUCAUGCAUUCAAAAACGAUUUUCUGGAUUGCUCAAAUAUUCGAAAGCAAAGGAUGUAUAAGAACCGAAACAGUUAAAGAUCUAUACGGCCCAAUAGUACAUUAUAAUAGCCAAAUAAAUCUAAGGUCAGCUUUGACUGAGGGAGUUGAAAUUUUACUUUCUUAACGAUUUCAAAAUUUUUAACGGAAAAUUUUAAGAAGGGUUAUAUAUCAUGGCCACAACGAGAUAAAUAUUUGUAAAUCAAUUGAAAACAUAUACUGAUACAUGACAGGACUCACACCAGUGAACGUUUGAACACAAACAAGUUGACAGGUAAUGGUUUAAAUGAUUUUCAAAAAAGGCAUUGUGCUUUUGGAUAUUAUUGUUUCUGCAUCUAUUUGGUAAAUGUACAUACAAGUAUAAUGUAAGAGAAAAGUGAUAAAAUGGUUUUCAACAUUUUCAGGAGAAAACUCAAUAUGAGCAUUUACCUUUCAAAACGAAGGUUCAUCGAAAAAUGGUCCUUGAAAACCUCCAUGAAAACGUUUUUGCCUUUGUUAUGGGUAUGGAAAAAGAUAAACGCAAUAUAAAAGUAAAUUUGUUAUGCUGUAUCUAAUGUUUUAUCGACAAGAGGUAUGUUUUAUGUCCCAUUUAUGGGCAUUAUAUUUUCUUGUCUGUGCGUCCGUUCGUUCGUUCGUUCGUUCGUCUGUCUCACUUCAAGGUUUAAGUUUUUGGUCGAGGUAGUUUUUGAUGGCAGUUGAAGUCCAAUCAACUUGAAACUUAGUACACAUGAUCUUUCUUAUUUUAUUGCCAAAUUAGUUUUUAUACCAUUUUCAGGGUCCACUGAAAAGAAAAUGAUAGUGAGGAUGGGACAUUCCAUGUUAAGGUGAAUAAAACAAAUGUAAGUAACCGAUUACAGGUGUAUGUACAUGAUGGUUAUUAAUGUUUCUCUGUAAUGGUAGUUUCCCUAUGACCAUUUUCCAACUUAAAAAUAAUCUCGUUUAUUAUUAUGACAAGACAUGAACAUUAUAUCAAACUGUCCAUUAUAACACGGAAAUAUAUUUUUUUCUCGUUUAAUUGCGUCGUUGAAAUAUUUCAAAAUGUCACAAAAGGAUGUCCUAAUAUUGUUUACUUUUUGAUAUAAAUAACUUUUUAUGUUUUUUGGAUGUGCAGACUUACUUGGUCUUUUUGAAAGAAAAAAAAUAUUAUAUAGAAUAAAGAAGAAAAACAUGUGAGUUAGUUUAUAAAUUUGAAGUUAAUACCAUCAAUGAAGUUUACAAUCUCGAUUGUCUUUUACUUAAGGGGACAAAGAGGUAGGGGUGGGGGAGUUGGGUUAACAUACUUAAUAUUAUGGUAAUUGGCUUUCACACAUUGCUUUUACAAUCUUGUAAAAAUUUGGUACUUUUGGGGGGUUUCCCACAAAAUUUGUUAUAAAAAAUCUUUUCAGUGAGAUCAUCUAUUUACUCUUCCGGAUUCAAUCGUGAAGUUCAUUUUGAUUUUAAAAAAAUAUUUUCUUACAGAAAAUGAAGAGUUUACUUUUUAUUACUUUUAUUGCUGUGACACUAUUGUGUGUUGUAAAUGGAUGGGGUGGUUCUCCUGGUGCACCAGGAAACCCAGGAGGACCAGGAGAACCAGGACGGCCUGGAGGACCAGAUUGGGGUUUUGAAACUACUACUUGGCCUAUUGAUGGAGGCUGUGGAGGUGAACCUGGUAGCCCAGGAGGCCAGGGAGGGAAAGGAGGAAGAGGCUGUUAAGGUUCAAAGGUAUGUGUUCUUUAAAAUGAGAAAUUAUUUACAAUAUAUGUUCUAUAUAUUGUAAAUAAUUUCAUGUUAAACUAUUUUUAUUCAUAAUAUUUGUUCUAUAAAACAUGUUAUUUUUUUAUUUCAAUAUUUGUUCUAUAAAACAUAUUGAUCUUUUUUAACAUCUGAUAAUGAAAGUUUUUUACAGCUGACUAUGCGGUAUGGGCUUUGCUCAUUGUUGAAGGUCGUACGGUGACCUAUAUUUGUUAAUUUCUGUGUCAUUUUGGUCUCUUGUGAAGAUUUGUCUCAUUGGCAAUCAUACCACAUCUUCUUUUUUAUAUAGCAAUAUCAAAGAUUUGAAUGGCUACUAUUGAUUAUUACAAAGAGGACACAAAACAGAGAAAUAAACCACAUUUUAAUCAAGUAUAUUGAACAAAGGUACCAUUAAAGUACUUGCAUACAUUGAUUUCUUUAUACGAUUUGCAAAUAAUAUGAAACUGUUCUUUUAUUAAGUUAUUUCUUUUCAGAAUUAUUGGUUUCCCGUCAGUAGGGCUAUUAGGAGAUGGACAAAGAAUUACCAAAAAGAAUUUUUAGUUUUAAAUAAAAAUAUUUUAAAUGCAUCUAUCUUAUCAAUGCAUGCAUUUGCAAAACGUGUAAGCGUGUACGUAAUUUAUAGAUUAAACUAAGGAUUUAUAUUUUGUACGGUAGACAUUCAAUAUUUAUCUAUUAGGUGGUCUUGAUACGUUCUUACACAAAACCCUGGCUCAUUAUUUUUUCUAAGACACCGAUGACGUUUUACAAAGUCUGAGUGGCAGCUGCAAUCUCUAGAAUACCAUAAUGAGCUGAAAAAUGUGUACUCCUUACGACAGUGAAGUUGGCACAUUGAUGCUAAGGUGAGCAAAAUUAAAACUUUCAAAAUUGAAAUCGUCUCGUUUUUCAUAGAAGAGUGGCGAAAGAUACCAGAGGGACAGUCAAACUCAUAAAUCGAAGAUAAACUGACAACGCCGUGGCUAAAAAUGAAAAAGACAAACAGACAAACAGUAGUACACAUGACACAACAUAGAAUACUAAAGAAUAAGCAACACGAACCCCACUAAAAACUGGGGUGCUCUCGGGUGCUCCGGAAGGGUAAGCAGAUCCUGCUCAACAUGUGGCACCCGUCGUGUUGCUCAUGUUAUAACAAAUCCGGUAAAUAAUGGUACCGAGAUGACCGUUGUUGUCAAAUCGAGGAAAAUGUAUAGAAAUGAAUCUGUAGAUGUAGUUUCGUAAAUCUCGAGUUAAGCAAUAGGAUAUAUUAAUGGAACUAAAUCAGAAAAAAAAUGGAUUGCUAAGGAAAAGAACAUCAUCAAUAUACCUGUAUGUGAAUUUAAAUAAUCUAGCUUUAUUGAUCUUCUUAUUUUUACAAGUGUAUGAUAGAACUUAAAGUUUAAUUUAACUAACAGAAUUUGGUUUCUAAUUUCAAGGAUGUGCGUUAUGUCGAUAAAAAAAUGAAACGGUUCGUGAAAAAUAUCGUUGUGUAAUAACGUAUCUCCUUAUUUCGCAUGGCUCAUGUACAUGCAAUAUCAUUAAACACAAAUAUUCAGUUGUCCUGCAUUUUGUUAUUUUUUUUAUAUAGAGGAUAUGUAGUAAAUAAUGCGUAUACUCAUGUUUAGUGUUACGUUGACAGGCGUUGAUAGGACACUAUUUGAUGAAGGCGUGACAAACUAUAACUUUUAUCCAAUUGAAAACAGUGAAUUGUGAUGGUGACACUUGUUGUUUCAUCUCACAGUCAUGGUUAUUAAUAACAUUUUCAAAGUAAGGUUGACAUUGACAAGUUGCUUUCAGACGCUGACAUGAUGUUUGAUGUAAUUCAUUGCAAACCUAAUUUGUUGUAUUUUAUAGGAGAAAAUUAUUUGUUUUCUUCUUCAAUAUAUACACCUUUAUAUAACUUCCAUUUUCUUGUGUUUAUUUAAGAUAAUAAGAAUAAAACAGUUCGCAUGAUCUUUUUUAGAGCCCCAGUCCUAUGGAAAUUGCCUGUCUGUUGCAUUUACAAAAGAAUUUUCAACUGGUGAAACUGUUAUAAAGAAUAUCAUUGAUCAUAUAUCAUCAAAUUUAUUAUGCACAUUUGUAUUGAUUACUAUGUUUGUGUUCAUCCAUAUAGUAGAAGAUAUUCUGAUAUAUUUGAUGAGUUGUUUAUCUACAGUAUGAAGCGUCCUAUUGUUUACUAUGUAUGAUACCUGUUGAAUUAGGUAAACAAAAUCGUUCUGUAAUCUCUAGCUAUUUAUCUACAUUAUUCAGCGUUCCCACGUUUACAAUAUAAGCUACCAGUUACGUUAAAUUAACAAAAUCAUCGUUCCUGUAACCUCUAGCUUUUUAUCUACAUUAUUAAGCGUUCCCUUAUUUACAAUAUAUGCUACCAGUUACGUUAAAUUAACAAAACCUUCGUUCCUUUAAUCUCUAGUUAUUUAUCUACACGUCCACAUGUUUACAAUGUAUGCUACCAAUUGCAUUAAGUUAAAAAAAAAACAUCGUUCUUUUAAUCUCUAGUUAUUUAUCUACACGUCCACAUGUUUACGAUGUAUGCUAACAGUUACAUUAAGAAAACAAGACAAGCAUUCCUUUAUUCUGUAGCUGUUUCUCUAUAUUCUCUAUGAUUACCAGAAAUCUACCUGUUGCACUAAGUAUCAUCGCGCCUUUCAUCUAUAGCUGUUUUUAAACAGUAUGAAGUAUCCCCAUAUUUACCAUAUAUGCUACUCGAUUAAGUAACCUCUUCUGGUGAUUAUAUACAUUCAUAAUAUGUUUAUAUAGACAGAUAGUAAAUUUAGGCAGCAAAGGUUUACCGAUGUUCAAAUUGAUUAAAAAGACUGAAAUCACGCGAGUCCGGGUGCGUUGUCAUAGAAGGCGUCUCAUGCAUUCCGUGAUGCAUCAUGUCAAAAUGUCACAAUCGUUAAAUAAUCUCAUCUUGGAUACAUGGAUCGAAAUAUUUUACGUCAGACGCUCGGAUAAAAAAGUCUUAAAAAAACAAAUAAAGUACGAACAUGUAGAGCAUUUCUGACCCGAUUCUCCAAAAUGUUUUUGCUAAAUACAUCUUUAGUAAUCUAAUCCUUGGGUUGCACACACAUAAUUUAUACAGAUUGGACAUUUAUUCUAGUAUUUAAUUAACAGAUUGCGAUAGCAAAGAUUGCGAUAGCAUAUCACCAGUGAAUUGACACACGAACGUUGAUGACGUUUCAAUUGAGACAUGUAAACGCCUUUCGACGAGGAGUGAGUAUGUUACAGCUUAGAAAUAUGAAGUUGACAAUUGGAAAGUUGAAUUCCGCAUCUUUGUCAUUGAUUUUCGUAUCUGUAAUCUCAAGUUCACGGGAUAUUUUUUGAAAGUAUGGUACGUUGUUUACGCCUCAAGAUCGUUCGACGUAUCUAUUACUUUGACGUUGGCGGGGCGUGUUUUUAAGCAUACGCCUUGCGUAGUUUCAGCGCUCCGUGACCGUAAAAACGCUCCCGUGGCAUAUAAAAAACGUAUUCUGACAUUCAACGAAACUUGCUCAGUCAUUUAGAGUAGCAUAUGUCUGUGAAUUUGAACGCCCGAUAACCGCUUUUGUACGUUAUUCGCACGCCAUAAACACACUUAAAGCUCGUGCACACGAUACAGACAUGAUUGACAAGUUGAGUCCAUCCAAAAUUAGUAGCGUAUUGACAGCGUUCAUGUUUUUUUUACCACGUCCGGUGUACGUCGUUGCCAUACGUUAAUGUGUGAAGCCGGGUAUAUGCCUGGUACCUUUGAUAACUAUUUACACGACUGGGUCCAUGCAGAUGCUGGUGGACGUUUCGUCCCAAAGAGUAUCACCAACCCAGCAGUCAGCACUUCAGCACUUAUAAAUUUUCUCUCUAUAAAAGUAUGAAUGUUUCGAAUACUAAGGAUUUUCUUAUUCCGGGCAAAGAUUACCUUAGCCGUAUAGGGCACAACUUUUUGGGGUUUUUGGUCCUUAAAGCUCUUCCACUUUGUACUUGUUUGGCUUUAUAAAUGUUUUGAUCUGAUUGCCAAAGAUAAUUUUUAUGGAAACGAAACGCUCGUCUGGCGUAUUAAAUUACCAGCCUGGUACCUUUGAUAUCUAUUUUUUGCAAGCACUCACUGAAAUAUUGGUUAUAAUAUCCAACACAACGAAGAUGCGUUGCGUAUAAUGUUUUUGAAUCGUCCGUCAAGUCUGUUAGACUUGAUCUUAAAACCAAACAAUAGCUCUUCAUGAAUCUUUGUACAUGUAGAUGAUAAGGACAUAUGUAGAUGAGCAUAUCGACAGACAAUUAUGAUUAAAUAUUUAAUCUAAAAGUUAUGCCCCUUAGAAGUUUGACCUAAAUGCUACCGCAACAGUUUGUCAUUGCCACUCGACACAAUAUAAUUUUAUAAAACUUUGUAGUUAAAGAGGACAUUAUAUGUAAAUGUGCAUAUCCAAAGGAAAUUUUAUAAGAUUUUUAUGAGUCAUAAGCCUUUGAAAUUAGAAAUCUGAUAAUUUGUUUGUCCAGUGACAAUGUGGGGGCAUGUGGUAUGUGAGUGUGCUAACAAAGGUUUUGUUUUCUUAAUUUAGUAUGAGGACAACAUCAAAGCAAUUGAAAUUUAAAUUUAAAAAAAAAGAAGCUAUUUACGAAUUCUGCUUCAUAUAAGUACAAAUCAAGCCAUCUAUAAUAAGUUCACAAUAAGUACCAAUUUGAAUACCGAUUGCCCAAAUCCAGCAAGUUCAUGAAUAUGUUGUCGAUCAAAACGUCAAGCAUUUCGAUGAAACCACCUUCGGUGUAUUUUAUUUUAAUCAGUGCGGUUCUUCCAUUAGCGUCUGGCGUACACACAUUUAUUUCUGGUAUCUAUGAUGUCAUUGAGUUUAUUCGAUGAACUUGCUCUGAUUAAUAAGACAAUUUCUCGACCUUUCUGCUAAGAAGUGGAAUAAGUAGUUUAAAAGAUAUAGAUAGAAUCAAAUAUUUUUUUAUAUUUCAUCAAAUCGAUUGUGUUAUUUUGAUUUUGUAUUAAAUAUUUAUUAUAAAUGUAAUAAAUCUACAUCUGAUUGUCAUCGUAGCACAAUAUUGUGAUUAUAUUUUUUUAAUUGUUUUUCAUUUGUUUUUAUUGUAAAAUUAUUUAUUUUUGUUUUAAUUGCCCGUUUAAACUUAUCUUUGAUGUCCAUUUUGUAUGUCUCGAGUGAAACGUUACACUGAUGAUUUUAUGUGUAGUUAAGUGACAGGUACAUAGAUGGAUAAUCUCACGGAUUUUUAUAAAAUUUUGCAAGCUGUUAGAUUUGAAUACUGAAUAUCGAAAUAAAAUAUAUGUAUCAACUAGUCCUCUGCAGAUUAAUGCAAUUGAGUAUUCAUAGAAAACAGUACAAAUGUAAAGAGGGACGAAAGUACCAAAGGACAGUCAACUCAUAAUCUAAAACAAACUGACAAAGCCAUGGCUAAAAAUGAAAAAGACAAACAAACAACAGCACAUGAACCCAUGAAAACUAACGAAUAAACAACACGACCCUACCAAAAAUAGGGUGAUCUCUGGUGCCGGAAGGGUAAGCAGAUGCUCCAUAUGUGGCACCCAUCGUGUUGCUUAUGUGAACAAAUGGGUAAAUAGUUUAAUUCGGUAGGUCAAUUCAUGAAAGGAAGGAGAUUGUAGUUACGUAAAACAUAUCCGAUAUCAUUUGUGAAACGGUUAUUCCAUAACUGUCAACCAACUCGUGAUCGUCCGUAAAAUUCGAAGGGAUAAUUCAACUUAUCAUUGGAACUUUGGUUAAUAGCUUCCUUGCGAGCAGCAAACCCUCUAUCAAGAAAUCAUGAUAGAAAUGCAAGCACGGGAACAUCGUAUCAAUUGAAAAAUAAUGCACCCCGUAUGCAUGUGCUGCUGGAAUGUUGCUUCUUAAAAAUGGAAAGUUCACAAUUGGAAAGCUGAAAUCAUCUCUUUGUCGUAAUGUUUUGUUUUCAACGACCUCAUUGUCAUUUCUAGAUGUAAGUCAAGAUAUGAGGCCGAUUAACUGUAUGUAGUAUCUAUCUUAGCUCCAUGGAUAAAUGCGUUCCACAUAGUCACCAAAUUUUGAAUAUUUAGUGAAAAAACAUCAUCUAUAUAGGAAAGUAUUUAGGGAUUGCUAACUUCUUAUCUUUCUUCCUAAGAAGUUCCUGCAUGAGUCACCUAUAUAAUAAUAAAGAAACAAGUCGGCAAGUAGAGGACAAGUUUGUUCCCAUUAGAAUGCCGACAGUCUGUUGAAAACAGUUCUCCGAACGUACAAAUAUGUUGUCGCUAAAAAAAUCAAGCAUCUUGAUAAUAUCAGUUUCAGAGAUUUUUUUUGAUUGAAUCAGAGUGGUCUUUACAAAGUAGGAUUUAUCCUCCCUAUACAAGAUACUUGUAUCUACGUUGGCCAUUCUUUUUUAUGAAGCAAAGCAAUACAGACUUUUAAUUUGUCUUUAGUUUGGAAUGUGAAUACUUGUGUAAAGAGUAGAAAAGUCAAAUGUUUUAAUACUGUUACAGAUGAACAAGUUAAGAUAUACUUUAAAAGAUCUUUUGGAAUUUUUAAGUAUCCACAUCUGAUGCACGCCCCUCUAGAAUAGGCAGUUUUCACAAUAACUGUGAAGCCGUCUUUGAUUGCUGAUAAAAUAGAUGUUAAUAAUUUAGAAAGAGUUUCGUGGAGCACUUGUAAGACCCAGAAUAUACCGUUGUUUGUAGGACACCAAGUGAAUUGUCAAUACCUAAUUCGUUUAUCUAACAGGUAAUGUAAUGAGUUUUACACACAAAUACGAUGUUGUUUGGGGCUUUAUCUGCGGGGACAACACCAUAUUUGUCAUGGAGGUAGGAUAGGUGUUUUGCAACAUUUGGGUCUUUAAAGAUUGACGUAGCAUGGGCAUUGGAUAGACCAUUCAGUUUCUUAAUUCUGAUUUGUAUCAACGACCUCACUGCUUUAUCCAUUCGAAAGAUUGUCUACGUUCUUCCCGCGUUUAGCCCAUUGCCUGGCAUAAUCCUCACUGCUCCAUCAAAAUUUUAUGAUGAAGGAUAUUGCUAAGUGACGCAUCGAGACCUUUGUUGGCAAAGGAAAGAUUAAGGAAAGAUCUUUUUUCUUUUUCAUCUUCCAAUGGGAUGCUUGAAAGUCUGUGACUUGCAAUAUCGAAAUUAUAGCUUCAAGUUGUAUUGGUUUGAAUGAGGAUUUGUAACAGUGGAUUCCAAACAUAAAUUGAACAGAGAAUGAAGUUUUGAAAAGGGUAAUGAAUAAAGUUUCGUACGAAUGUGAUGAAUACUACGGCUUUUGUAUAAAAGGAGGCAAGUCAUUAUAGAUACAUCAUAGAGAAGUGAUUAUAAUGACGAUGACCAUGAUGCGUCUACGUCGAGGUCGAGUUGAAAUAUUCAUUCACAUUCACGAGUUACACGACGGACUGAUAGAAUAUAUACCAUCAAUUUUGUCAUUGCACCAUACAUUGUCUAUCAGUAGUCCUCUUUUUGUCUCGGAGAGCUUGAAAGAUUAGGAUUGUUAGAGCUUGGUAUAUAUUUUUGAUAAUGCGAACUGUCAUAGAAAAUGGAAUGAUCGGGCUGAUUGAAAGCUGGUAUAGAAUGUCGUUAGCAUUGAGGGUAAUGCUGAUCUAUGACACACAUACGUUGUUUAGCCUUCCUUUCGUUUAUCGAUUUACAAUUCAGAUCACGUACUUCUGGUUAAAUAUGACUUCUUGUAAAAUAGCUAGUUGAAUCAGCAUCUGUAAUUAAAAUUGCACAAGUUUUGCAGCUUUGGUUCCAUUUUGAAAUGCGACAGUUUGUACUGUGUAAUAAAAAACCAAAAUGCUUUAAGGAGAACUGAACAUGGCUGUAUAUGUGUAAUAUUGUGUUGUCCGAUGAUCUGAAUGAGUCAUGUUUUGAGAUUUUGUCAUGUUGUGAUGAGAGGCCUGUCAGACGAACCGUGUCCUGGUGACGUCUGUUUCGGACCUUUUUAUACUGGGCGACGUCCGAGCCAGUUUCCUGUUUGAUCUGCGUAAAGUCAUGCAAUUGUAGUUUUACUACUGGGCGGAUGAUGUCCUCGGGGACAAAAUGUCGACCAGCAGAGACAUCGACCCAGUGGUUAAAGGAUGGACGUACAUUGCCACAAAAAAGAAACCAAAAAAACAAAAAACAAAAAAAAACUAUCGUUUAAACUAUUAAAAUUUUCCGUUUUGUUGAUAUAAAAUGUAUAUUUUUCGAUUUCUUUCUUUCCCUGUUUGAAUCAUUUAUGAGUAUUGAAGUUUAGGGAAAAAAGUAGUAUUACAUUUUCUCGGCUUUAUGUUGGCCUUUCGUGUAGGAAGUCCAAUUACGAGCGCUGUGAUUUGAUGUAAUAAGAGUACAAUACAUCUAUGAAUAAGUGCAGUAUUUACAAUAUAAAAUUUUAAACCAAUAAACCAAAUUUCUUGUGAAUUAUUCGAAAAGAAUUAAAAAUUUUCAUGAAUUUGGCGUAAAAUUGCGGUUGGCAUAGAUAACAUAAACAAACUCUGUUCAAAGAUGGUCAUAGUACUAUUUGACUUAAAUAUUUAAAAUAGAUUAAUAUAGUAUUAAUACAACUGUUGUGUCCAGGUUCCCCAUUUUUUUUAUUAUAAAAGUGGUGAAUUUAUAAAAUGUAAUUGUUAUCGCCUAUGGUAGAAUAAAAACUGAAAGAUUUUUUGUCGGCGGCGUAGAGAGCGGCUUACUUUAUAUCAGAAGAGUUAGUAAUAUGAGCAUGUGUACAGUGACUGCGAGCACGACUUCUGAUCAUAAGUUUGAAUACUAUUUAAAACAUGUAAACAAUAGCAGCAAGUUUGAGUCUCAACCGGCAUGACUUCAUAUCAGUAGGUCAGGUACUAGGGCAUGUUAACUAUGAAUGCGAGCUGGAGUCUAGAACGGCUGGACUUCUGAUCAUAAGGUUAAGUACUUUGAUCAUGUUUACAAUGCUGUGAGCUGGAGUCAAAAUCGGCAUGAAAUCAUAUCAUAAAAUUAUAUACUACAUGUAUAAGCAUGUUUACAAUGGUUGUUAGCCAAUCACUCCCGUAAGAGGUUUAUUAUCAUAGAUCAUAGAACAUGACCUGUAUCACGCCAACAACAGGUUUUAGAAUAAUUGUUUUUAUUUCCGAUAAAAAGACCAUAUGAGUGAAUCAAUAUUAAAAUAUAUUUCAAUUGCGUCUCAUUGGCGUUUUUCCAUUCCUCAUUUCAUACCUUUAUGGUUUCGUUCUUGUUUUACAAAUAUAAUACAAUUAGUGAUCGACAGUUAAUAAAGGAUUUAAUAAUUCAUAAAGUCAUCGAAUUAAAACCAACAAAGCGCUUGCGUUUUUGACGUAAUGAAUUUUAAACCUGAUGCCUUUUGUUAUCUGUUGUUCGUGUGUUUCUAAUACGUUCUCCUAUUUGUUUGUAUUUUGGUCCUGUAUUAUUAUGUUGUCAUUUUGAUGUUAUAUUUAGAAAUGCCAUCAAAGUGCGAGGUUUGGCAUGCCACAAAACCAGGUUCAACCCACCAUUUUUUUCUAUUAAAAUGUCCUGUACCAAGUCAGGAAAAUGGCCAUUGUUAUAUCAUAGUUCGUUUCUGUGUGUGUAACAUUUUUACGUGUGUUUCCGUUGUGUCGUUUGUUUUCUCCUAUAUUGAGUGUACUAUAAGACGUUGUCACGGUACUUUUCUAUCCAAAUUCAUGUAUUUGGUUUUGAUGUUAUAUUGGUUAUUCUCAUCGGAUUUUGUCUAAUGCUUGUCGUUGCGUGUGUGUUCAUUUUAAUUGUGUCGUUGUCCCCUCUAAUAUUUAAUGCGUUUCCUCAGUUUUAUUGUUAUCCCGAUUUUGUUUUUGUCCAUAGAUUUUUGAGUUUUGAACAGCGGUAUACUACUGUUGCCUUUAUUUAAGAGAAAAAAAGUAAAUAUCUUUGGUUUUAGUUAGUUGAUAAGUUCAACAAAUGUACAUAUAAACUACAAAAUGAAAUUAAAUAUCACAAAUCCAAUAAUAUUAUGAUUUAAUAUUUAAUAUAUUCUCAUAUUUCCUUUUUGAAAAACAAAGGAGACAAACAACGUUGCAUCAUGACACUAUUUUUUCAACCCAGAUUCUACCUAAGGUUGAUAUCAUAAACUCGCAUUCAGUUUUGGUGUUAACGGCACAUCUUUUGGUCCGUUUUAUUGACAUCAUCUUUGUUUGCCCUCAUGAAUAAACCCUUGUGAAUGCAAUGCUCAAAAAUGUUUAAAUGCAUUUAACUUUUGAUUUUUUUACUCGAUAACUUACUUAAAACAACAACAGAAAAAAACUUUAAAACACACAGCAGGUUCGAUUAAAACUAAAUUUACACAUUAUGGGACGUUUAAGAUCAAUAUUUAACGAUUACUGAUGUUAUCAUAAAGAAACUCGUUCUCCUUUUAAAAAGAAGGAAACGUUUGAUUUCCUUGCAAAAUAUUUUCAGUAUUUUGAGAAAAAGAAUUUCUUUGUUUGUAGAUUUAUUGUGACAAAGAGUAUCAUAUGACAUUUGGAACAUGAAUAUGUUAACCUGAUUCAUUUUCUUCUGCCUCCUCCUCCGAAAUCACCAACUCCUCCUACUCUUUCUGCACCACGACCUCCAGGGCUGAAGUUUAAACCAGUUCCACGACGACCAUGUGCUACAGAUGUCAUUUGUAGUAUGGCAGUCAAUAGAAGAAAUAGAAAGUACAAAAUCUUCAUUUUCAACCCUGAAAAAAUAACUAGAAUUUAACAUUUUGGAUUGAUAUUAGUUAAAUGAGAUGAUACACUCACAAAAUAGCAAACUUAAACUCCAAUUGUCAAAACAAAGGUUAAUCUGUUAACUAACCGUCAUCUGAACAGAUUCGUUGUCUCUAAUGUUGCUAUUUGUUCAACUAUUCAAAUACCUUACUAGUGUACACUCUAUUGACAUUUAUCAUGACAUCAUUUUAUAAAAGGAAAAAUUGGUAGAAUAGCUAAAGAUUCUGUAAAUUUCACCAAAGUUAUAAAAUUCAAUCGAUGUUAUACAGCGUUGAAAACACACAUAUUUUUUUGUUCGUGUUGCGCAAUUUUUAGUUUUCAAUGUUGUGUUUUGUAUAAUGUUGUUUGUCGAUUUGUUUUUGUCCUUUUUUGCCAUGGCGUUGUCAGUUUACUUUCUUAUUUUAAGUUUGAAUGUCACUUUUGUACCUUACGCCUCUCUUUUGUGCUAUUCUGCUAUUGUGUUCUAAAGAUUGAUGACUUUUUUAAAGAUUCGAUAUUUCUAUAUUCGAAUGUAGAACAGAUUUUCCUUCAACAUGGAAGGACUUAGUUUUUUAAAUUGGUUUCGAGAUUUGUACGAUUUUGGCUUGAAUAUUUGUUCACCUAGAUGUGGAUGUUUUCAUCGGUAGUAUGACUAUAAUUAUUUCUCUCAUAUCAUUUAAAAAAUAUAUGAAUGCGUUUUAUAUUUUUAUUCCGUUAGCAGUCCACUGAUGAAAAAAAAUGAUUCUCAAUAUUAAUACUUUUAGCACAUGUUUAACAUCCAUGUCGCUUUUCAAAAACUUCGGUGAACAAUUUUCUGUUUUCUCUUAAAUGUAACAGUAUUGAGCCUUUUACACAUUGAUAUCAUAUCUUAGACAACCCAUUUUUUUUUACCUUAGCAUUACUAUGACGAGAACGGACACAUAAUUGGAAUUGAAGCACGGACACUACUAGCUUUAAUACGAGUUAGAUGGAGGAGUUCCUCAUUGGAAUAUCCUAUUCUGGUGAGCUUAUAUCUUAAGCAAGUAAUUAAGCAAAUGUGAUGCUGUCAUCAUUCUAUCGGUUAUUGUUUUACUGAAUUGUCCCCAUUUAUACACACACAACUCUUCAAAUAUGACAAUAAUUUGUUUAGAAAUAAUAAUAACUUGAAUAACUAAUCGAAAAAGGUAAAAUAACGAAAAAAUCAACUCUAAGGAAAAUUCUAAAUGGAAAAUACCUUAUUAAAUAAACUUAUCAUAGAUACCAGGACCAAAUUUUAUAUAUACGCCAGACGUGCGUUUCGUCUUCAAAAGACUCAUCAGUGACGCUCGAAUAUUAAAUGGCAAUUGCAAAAGCUCAAACACAUCAAACGAAUUCAACAAUCCUCAAAUACAUGACUUCAAUAUUACAUAUAAGAAGCUUUGAUAAAUAGUGUUUUCCUAUGAGUGGAACCCUGUUUCAAGGAAAUCAUGAUAGGAAACAUAAUCUCAUGGAUACCAAUUUAAACUAGUUAUUUACAUGCACUACAAAAGUGCUUCUACACAAAAUGAGAAGUUCACAAUGGGAAUACCAAAAUUAUCUCAUUUGUCGUGAACCUAAUGUACAAAGGUAGAGUACUCAAUUAAUGGUAAAUAUAUCUGUGUUAUAUUUUAUUUCACACAUAUUAUUACUCAUAUGAUGUUCUUUGGCCUUCAUAUUUCGGUUCUCAGUCCAACUUUUUUCAGGUUUUAAUUUGGCGCUUCCUUUACUUUUCAGCUUGCACACUACACUAGACUUUUUAAUAAAAAAAAAUACUCCCUCAUCCCUCAGAACUCUUUAUUGACACUUCGUAAGAUUUGUGAUGCUGUUAAGCAUCUCUAUUUUUGCUUGCUGGUCCGACUUAAUUUCUAGGCUUUGACGAAUACAUCAUCUUGGAGUAUUAAGUUUGUUUUUGCAACACCUCUUUAACCCCUAUUAGAACUUAUUGUUAACAUCUCAGAAUCGUUAUCAUAUAAUAGUUAUCAAAAAGUGUUAUUUAACCAUAGAUUUUAAAACUUGUUGGACCAAAUCAUGGACUUUCAAGCAAGCGGAGAUAAUUUUUGAGCUUUGCUCGAAUAACCUCGACUUUUCCCUACCGGACUUUCAGUCAAAAUGUAAGAAAGCUCUACUAAGAUUUAAACAUAAAUGAAUUAUAAAAACAUUGUUUUGCUGCAAUUUGAAAACUGUCAAUCUUUAUUGUAUACAGAUAGAAAACAAUAGAAAAAAUUGUACAAUUAAAAAAUAUUGACUUCUUUCCAUACACAAACUACCCGAAUUUAAAUGAUGACCUGUACUUUUUCCCGGAAACUCUCAUUUUCAACACGCUAACAUGGGACUUUUUAUAUGAAUAUAUUGGUCUUAUUAUAAUAACGAUUUCUGUCUAGAUUAAGGGAAUAAAAGGAAAAUUAAGGAUUGGCAAUAUGUAUACAAUGGUACCGUAUAGCGGCUCAUUUUUGCGGGUGUAAAAUUUCGCAAUUUAGGGACAACAAAGUUAACGAAAAAUUUAGGCUGUUUUUAUUUUGGUGGAUUCUGAAAUUGUUUCAUAUAAAAUAUUAAAAAAUUGAGAAGCAAGUUAAUUGAUUUGUUUACCUUAAUGACGUCCUAUUUAUUGAUGUUGGUCGGAACUUUGGUGUACUUACGUAUUAGGUUAAAAAAUUUCAAGACUGAUUUACAACUCUUAUGUAAUUUGACACUAAUUAAAAAGGAUAAUUACCUGAUACAGUACCCUUCUCUCAUAAUCUAUUUGACACUAAUUGAUAAUGAUAUACAUAUGUGACAGUCAUUUUAUAGGAUACAUGUAUGUUCAAUGCUCUCUUUGUUUAUAUUGUUAAACCUAACCUUUACUGUUAUUGACCUACCGACCGCCGCUUUAGCUAAUAGAAAGAAACGAAAGUAUGCAUUAAUUUUUCGCGAUGUUCUUUCAUCCGUCAAAAUAAGCGAAAAUAAACACUGCGCGAAAAUAACCCGCUCGCUAUACUGUAUUUUAAAUAAAAUUUAUAUCUUUGUAAACAUUUACUUUUUGCGCAUUGUUACUCGGAUGGAGAGUUAUCUCAUUUGCACUCAUACCUAACCGUCUUAUUUUUAUUUCGGCAUUGUCUGACUGAUCUUAUUACAUAGUCAAUUUUGUUGGUAUCUUUUCUAAACUUUUCUGGUUUAGCAUCGUUAAUGUCGAUUUUCUUACCUUCAAAUAUGGUUCCAGUGCAGAAUUUGUUUUAAUAAUGAUAAUUGUACUAACUUUUUUAUUUAAGGUACAUAUAAGUCAUUAAUCAAAGCAGUUAAAUGUGUAUUUUUACAGUGUUGUUGAUGCAUAAAAAUGUCACUUUGUCAAGUUCCAAUACAUUACAAAAGAUGAAUGUUCAUUUCUCUUUAUUGUUAUUUGUUUGAACUGAAUGAUAUCAAGCAGGGCAUCUGUUCUCUGACUUUCAUAAUAAAAAGAUUACACAACUUUAUGAGAUCGUCAUCCGUCUUUUGGUGAGGUUCGUGUAGUUCAGUCGACUAUAGUUUUCUAAAUUGUAUUUUGUAUAUUAUCUAUAUCUUUCUUAUUUUUGCAACGGCGUUGUCAGUUUAUUUUCUAUUUAUGAGUCUGAAUGUUUCUAUGGUAACUAUUGUUUCUCAAAUACAAUAUUUCAGUAUUAUAGUGUGUCUUUCUAUGUUGUGAUGUUACACUAUUGUUUCAGAUAAGAGUGAAGGUUUGGUACCAUUAAAACGUUUAAACCCGAAUUGUUUGCACCUAGCAUAAGUCAGGAAUCUGAUGUUCCGUAGUUGUAGUUUGUUGAUGUGGUUCAUGAGUGUUUCUCGUUUUUCUUUUUUAUAAAACUAAAAACGUUGGUCCCGUAUGAAUGGUUUCACAUUAGAAAUUUGUGGGGUCAUUUAUAGCUUGCUGUAUGGUGUGAACCAAGGCUCCAUGUUGAAGACCGUGUUUUGAACUAUAAUGUUUUACUUUUAUAAAUUAUGACAUGGAUGGAGAAUAGUCCUUGGCACUAUACUCAUAUUUUCAUUUCUAUGUUCUCAAGGUUGAUGGAUUUUAUUUAAACUGGCGGUAAAUAGGGUUAUUCGUUUUUGGCCUAUGCUGCCUGGAGGAGCUAAGGGCCUAAUAGGUAAGUAAGUGUGAUGAAUUUCUCACUCUAUCGGUCAUUUUGUUGACUCAGAUUUUCCCACCUAAAACACAAAUAAUCAAAUAUAACAACAAUGUUUUGAAGAAUUAACUUGGUUAACUAAUUGAAGAAAGUAAAAUUACAAUAAUACUAAACUCUAAGGAAUAUUUAAACUGAAAAACCCUUAUCACAUGGCAACAUUAAAAGCUCAAACACAUUACACGAACGGAAUCAACUAUCAUAUUCCUGACUUGGUACUAUUUGAAUCAGAUCUUGAAUACCUGUGUUGAAAUAAUAAAAAAAACGUUUCUUUAGUUAUUAAGAAUAUGAAUUAUUAUUGUUCCUGGACAUGCAAAGACUCGAAAAAGGCUUUACAUGUUUUAUUGAUAAACGAUUCUUGUAUACAACUCAGUCAUAAACAGAGUGACAGGUAUUACUAGAUUGAUUUCACUUGACUUUGAGGAGUCUAACCUGUUCGCUCAUUAUAUACCAGUCCAUCUAUAGACAGAUGUUUUGGGAUGAAGAAGUGCCAAGUUAUUGUCAUUGAUAAGGUUUAAAUAUUUUAACAUUAUAUGUGUAUUGGCAAAAUAAACAAUGAGACACAGCUGAGGAAUUGUUUGCAAAGCGGAGUUUAAAAACAUGUGUAAAAGGGACGAAAGAUACAAGAGGGACAGUCAAACUCAUAAAUCGAAAACAAACUGACAACACCUGGCUAAAAAUAAAAAAAGACAACAGACAAACAAUAGAACACAUUCCCAACAUAGAAAACUAAAGAAUAAAUAACCAUACCCCACCAAAAGCUAGGGAUGAUCUUAGGUGCCUCGGGAGGGAAAGCAGAUCCUGCUCCACAUGUGGCACCCGUCGUGUUGCUUAUGUUGUAACAUUUUGAUUGAUAUGAAACUAAAACUAUAUCGACAUCAGUGGCAAAAUCUGCAAAUGUCGUUAUUCAAUAAUGUUAUGGUGACACUGAUGUGUGAUAUGGAAUCAGUAAUAAUUUUAACGGCAAUCAUCCUUAUGCAAAAAGUAAAAUCACAAAAAUACUGAACUUUUACUGAGGAAAAUCAUUUUUGAAAGUUCAAAAUCACAAUGCAAUUUCAAAUAACAAAACGCAUCAUAAACGAAUGGACAAGAACUGUCAUAAACAUCUUCAAAUAGACUUUUCUUCAGCAAAUUGAAAUGUAAGCUCCGCUCGAUCAGUUAAAAAUACAUAAGGUACGUGGAUGGAUGAUCUAACGGAUUUUUUAUAUAAUUUUGCACGUUGUUAAAAACUAUUGAAAGUUUCUGUGUAAUUGAUAUAAAAUGUAUAUUUUAUCGAAUUUGUUUUUUUUUAUCAUUUAGGAUUAUUGAAGAUUAUUUGCAGUGUAGGGAAAAAAGUUACUGUAGUCUUGUAUUUUCCCGGGUUUUUUGUUGGCCUUUCGUGGAAGAAGUCAAAUGACGAGAGCUGUGAUUGGAUGCAAGUGUACACUAUAUAUGUUAUGUGUUUAUGAAUAAGUGCAGUGUGUAUAUUUACAAUAUACAUUUUGAAAAUCAUUGACAAAUAUUUUUUCGAAUUAUUCGAAAAGAAAAAUCAAAUUUUUAUGAAUUUGAAGUAAAAUGUCGGUUGGCAUGGAUAACAUAAGCAAGCUCUGCUCAAUGGUGAUCAUGUUACUUAUCGACUUUAAAACAGAAUGAUAAAGGUUUAAUACCAUGCACAAAUAUUUUGUCUAUAUUUUUUUAUAUAUAUAAAAGUGGUAAAUCUAAAAUAUGUUAACAUUAUUGAAAAGAAAUAAUAAAACUAAGGUUUUCCCUAUAUGAUGUUUCUGUAUGAAAUCCGGUACAGGACUUUCACCAUUGUUGACGUAGAAAGUGGCCAUACUUUAUAUCAGCAUGUUAAGUAUUAUUAGUAUUUUUACAUUGACCGCGAGCUGGAGUCUCAGGCGGCAAGACUAUAUCAGAGGUGAAGUCCUAUUAUUAUGUUUACAAUGCCGCGAGUUGGAGUCUCAAACGGCAAGACUCCUUAUCAGAAGUGAAGUACUGUUAUCAUGGUUACAAUGACUGCGAGCUGGAUUCUCAGGCGGUAAGACGACUUCAUAUCAGAGGUAAAGUACUAUUUGCAUGUUAACAAUUGCUCAAAACUGUUGUCUAGAGCAGCAUAGCAUCAUAUCAGUAAGCUAGGUAUCAUGGGCAUGUUUACAAUGUGAGCAAAAUUUGAGGUACUUUGCUAAUUUGAAUAGCGGCCAUUUUGCUUUAUCGUGAUGGUAACCAUUAUUAUAGAAUUAUAUAUGCCCCUUAAAUAAAAAUUCCAAUAUGCCAAUUCCUAUGUCGAAUCCACAAUUUGUCCGCAUUAAGGUGAGGUGUAUAUGUUUGUAGGGUUCUGUUCAUGAACAAAUGAACAAAAGAAGCCUGUAAUUUGUGGAUGUCGUUUGUUUAUGUGUUGCAUAUUUGUUUUUCGUCCUUUUUUUUUAAAUAAGGCCGUUAAUUUUCUCGUUUGAAUUAUUUGUUUUAUUGGCAAUCAUCCACAUCUUCUUUUUUAUAAUUUCUACUUUGACAACUUUCGGCCUUUUCAAUUUGGAAAUAGGAAGCUUAAGCACAGAAUAUUUGCUAUAUAAAAAUAAUAAAAAGUCAAGAUUCAAAACAGAAAAGGAUACAAGUAGAUUGUUCAUUAUUUUGCUUCAAAUAGGGAAACACCUUGUAGGUUGAAUUUUAAAGUAAAAAAACUUUUAAAAACAUGAUGAUUUCAACCUUCCCAUUUCGUAAAAAGUAAAAUUUUAAGCAUUUUCCCUUAGAAUUACAAAACAUUUUUGUAGACAUCCGCCAAAGAAAGUUUUCAAAGAAACAUACAUUUAAGAUCCAUGACGGAAAAGGGCUGGAUUAUUCAAAAAUUAUAUUUUCAAUCUUAAACUUAGGAGAGUAAUUUCAUCAAAAGGACUAAAGUCACGUGGUUUAAAUUACACGAAUGUUAUUUGUCGAGUCUAGAGCGGUAUGAUACUAUACCAGUAGGUAAGUUACUAUGAACGUAUUAACAAUGACUGCGAGAUUGAGUCGAGAGCGACAUGACAUCAUAUCUAAAGGUAAGGUACUAUGAACGUAUUAACAAUGACUGCGAGAUUGAGUCGAGAGCGACAUGACAUCAUAUCUGAAGGUAAGGUACUAUGAGCAUGUUAAAAAUAUAUCUUUUUUUAAUGGGUCAUGUGUGUUUAUUCAUUUAUGUUCAAUUUGUUAAUCCAUUGAUCGACACUGGAAGGAUUUGGGUCUUGAAAAAUAAUAACGCAUCACAAAUUCAUUAACUUUUAAUUCUCACAGUUGGUGUCCAAAUGUCUUUUUUUUAUUGGAGAAUCUUGUAUUGAUGUCAAAUCUUUCAUAUUUUGUUUGACGAAUUGAUAAAACUUUGAAUAUGUAUAAAAAUUUAAUGAAGAUCAUUUGUUGAGCUGUAUAACUUUUAUCUAUUUCUUUCAAUUGAUGUCUCAUUGGCGUAAUCCCAUUUCUCUUUUCAGUUACCUUUAUGGUAACGAUUUUUUUUUACAAACAUAAUACAAUUAGUAAAUAUCGAAUAUUUUGUAGGAAAAAAUACAACGUUGUAUUGUGACAUCAUUUUUUCACUCACGUUUUACCUAAGGUUGAUAGCAUUCAGUAUGUGUGUUAAUAGCAGCUAGUCUCAUUUACAUCUUCUUUUGAGUUGGAUUUUCAAAAAGUCACUCGUUUUAAAAGGAAGAUGUAAUUCAUCAAAAUUGACAAUUUUUUUAAAGUUUGCUAUCCUGAAUAAGCCAUUGUAAAUUAAAUGCUAACAAAACGCUGUUAUUCAUUUUCUUUGAAAGUUCUUCAUCGAGAGCAUUUUUGUUAAGAUUUAUGGAACACUAAUUGCAGGUAAAAAAUAAUAAGAAAAUUACAAGUUUGAUUGAAGUUUUUUUUUAAAUUGGACGUUUGCGAUCACUAAAUAACGAUUGUUUAUGUUAUCAUGAAGAUACUCUUGUUCCUCUUGUACUACUGGAAAAUUUUUUAAAAAUAAUGGCGCUAAAUCGAGUUAGAUGAAGGGAGUUCAUCAUAAUCUAUGCUACCCGGGGAAGCUAAGGGCCAAGAUAAGUAAGUUAAUUUCUCAUUCUUUAGUGACGCUUAAAAUUGCCGUUAAAACACCAACAACUAAUUAAUCUUUCUAUAUGUCAUUUUGGUGACACAUAAAAAAUGAUAAUACUUUGUUUAAAAAUUUAUCUUUGUUAACUUAUUGAAAAAAGUAAGAUAACAAAUAUACCGACUCAAAGGCAAAAUUAAAAGCUCAAACACAUCAAACGAACAGAAAACAACUGUCAUAUUCCUCAUUUACGCACUAAUUGAUUUCUAUUUUGAAAAAUAAGAUCUUGAAUACCGUUAUUAUAAUAAUAAAAAAAACUGUAGUUAUUAAGAAUAUGAGAAACGUUGUUCCUGAACAUUCACAGACUCGGUUAAGGCUAUACAUGUCUUAUUGCCUGACGAUGGUUGUAUACAACUCAGUCAGAGACAGAGACGGUUUAAUUUUUCAAAACACAAAAUUUAAACAUUUUUUCCUUUAGUAUAAGUUUUUUUAACGAAUUAAUGCUUGUUAUACAGUGUGAAUUAUGUAGCGUACAUUCUAUACUAUAUUCGUAUUGAUGUGUAUGCUCAUAUAUUUGUCGGUUGACGGUUGACCGUUAACCUUAUCCGUGAAAUCCUAAGGAAACGAACAUUAAUUUUCAUAAGGUAUGGUUUGGGGAUUGGGAUGUAGCAUUUGAUCCGUUUCGCCUUUGUUUUUUGCCAUCACAUGGAUUCUAAAAAGAAUGCUGUAUGUCUGGAUAAAUCCAAGACUCUUAAGUGUUUUUGUGGAAAUGUAAAACAUGCUCCCUUUAUGUUCGUUCAUAUACGUUACGUGAAAAUGUAAGAAAGAUCUAUUAAAGUUUACAUAUAAGAAGAAUUUUAAAAACAAUGAUACACUUGUAUUUAAAAAAAUGUCAAUCUCUACUUUAUACAGAUAGAAUAAAAGAUAGAAAAUUAUACACUUUUAGAGGAUUGACUUCUUUCCAUACACCAAUUUUCCAAAUAUAACUGAUGACUGUACUUUUUCUCGAAAAUUUCCAUUUUCAUGACGCUGCCACGGGACUUUCGAUAUGAAAAUAAUAUUGCUUUUGUUAUUGUUACGAUUUCUAUCUAGAUUUAGGCAAAAAAGAGAGUGUUUCAUGUAUUUAUACAAUGGUAUUAAUUAUUAAAUGUUUAUUUUCGUAAACAUCUAUUUUUUACACAUAGUGGCUUUGAUGGAGAGUUGUCAUUGUCACUCAUACCACAUCUUCUCAUUUCUAUUGUGAAAUUAUAUACUGUGGAUUCAUUUAUUUUCGUGGAUAUCAAUUUUCGUGGAUUGAAGAAAAUUUACAUUUUCGUGGAUAUCUGAAUUCGUGGUUUGCCGAUUUCUAUAUACAAAGCCUAUAGGAAAUUUGUAAUUCGUUGAACAUAUGAAUUCGUGGUUCACCUGUACCCACGAAACCCACGACAAUUGUUAUCCAACGAAUAAUAAUGAAUCCACAGUAGUCGAUUUUGUUGGUAUCUUUUACUGAAUUUUUCUGGCUUAAUAUUUGUAAAUAUUGAUUUGCUUACCUUUAAAUCUGAACAUUUGUUAUAAAAAUGAUAAUUGUACUUACUGUUUUAUAUGGAUAAUGUAAGUCAUUCAUCAAUACAGUUAAAUGUGUAUUUUUACGGUGUUGUUGAUGAAUAAAAAACUCACAUUUGUUAUGAAACAAUAUAUAAAACAAAAGAUGAAAGUGCUUUACCAUGAUUGUCCUUUAAACGUAUUUAAUUAUAUUAAGCAGUACAUCUGUUGUUUGACUUUUAUCUGAUUAUUUUCAAACAUUCUUAACCAUUUUGACUCAUCAACAUUCAAUAAUUUUCUUAAUCAAAGAUUACUCGAAAUUUGGGAUUUAAUAACAUAAACAGUAUGUGAUAAACCCCAGUUUUUAGUGGGUUUCGUGUUGCUCAAUCUUAAGUUUUUUAAGUUGUGUUGUGUGUACUGUUGUGUGUACUGUUGUGUGUCUUUUUCGUUUUUUCCAUAGCGUUGUCAGUUUAUUUUCUACUUUAAUAUGAAUUUGAAUUUAACUGUGGCAUAUUUCGCUGCUCUUUUAUAAUAUUCUGUACUGUUAGUUUAGUGAAAAUAAAAUUAAAUAUUUCUAUACUAGAAUGUAGAAAGUUUUUUACUUCAACAUACGAAGGAUUUCUGUUUUCUUAGUGCUUUUGAGCUAUAAACGAUCUUGGUUUAAAUGUUUUUUAUGGAUGAUUUUAUCAGCAGUAAUACUUACAAUUUCUACCUUAUUUCAUUCAAUAAAAAAAAUCUCAAUACAUUUUUUUUAGUUUGUCUUUAUCAAUCUAAUGAUUUUAAAAAAUGUAUUAUUCUCAAAAUUAAUACUUUUACCAUGGACGUUCAUACCCGUAUUCCAAAACCUUUGUUGGCCAGUUGCCUUACAUUAUUACCAUUAUUGCUCCUUUUAGAAAUUGCCAUCAGAUCUUACAUAAUCUAUUGAUUUUUAUAUCUCAUCAUCACUUUGUAGAGACCGAAUUUGAAUUAAAAUAAUAGGGAUACCACUGUAACACUUUAGAAAAACUGGUGCCCAAACUGCCCGGAAUGCUAUGGCCUAAAUGAGUAAGUGUGAUGAAGUCUUCAUUCUAUCGGUCAGUUUGUUUACUCUUAUUUUUUCACCUAAUAAAUUACUCUUCAAAUAUAACAAUACUUUGUUUAAAAAUUUGGUUAACUAAUUAAAAAAGUGAAAUAGCAAAAGUACCGAACUCCAAGGAAAAUGCAAAUUGAAAAUCUUUAUCAAACGGCAAUUUCAAAAGUUCAAACACAUCAAACGAACGGAAAACAUCUGUUUUAUUCCUGACUUGGUACUAGUAAGAUUAUAUUUUGAAAAGUCAGAUCUGGAAUACCUUUGUUGUACAGAUGAAAGGCAUUACUUCAGUUAUUUAUCUGCAAUUGUGAAACAAAAACUGAUUGUCGGUUUGUAUUUUCUUUUGGUCACGGUGUAGUAUUGUUUCUACGAUUUAUGUUGAAAAAUUAUCUUUGCUUGGGUGUCUAUCAAUUAUAACUUCUGCUGAAGUCUGUCGUAGUGUCUAAAGAUUCAUGGUGUUGCCACAAACCUCAGAUACAUGACUUCAGCAUGAACAUACGGAUUUUUGUGUUAUAAAAAUUUGCUGUUAAAAAAUGUUAGAAAUUAUAUAAAAAAAGGAAUGUAUCUCCCUCAUGCAAAGCUCUGAUUCCUUUCAAGGAUUUGGCUAUACUUUUUGAACCUUUUGAAUUAUAUCUCUUUAUCUUUUAUAUAAGCUUUGGAUUUCAAAUAUUUUGGCAACGAGCAUCACUGAAGAGACAUGUAUAGCCGAAAUGCGCAUCUGGUGCAGGAAAAUUGGUACUGUUAAUUUUAUUCAACGGAACAUAUGAGAAUUAUUGAUUAUAUAGUUUGCUCAUGAGUACCAACUCUCUUUCAAAUAAAUCAUGAUAGGAAACCCAAGCCCGUGAAUACCAAAUAAAAGGGGUUAUCUGUAGGCACAUCUGCAAUGCUUCGAUAUAAAAUGAGAAGAUUGCAAUAGAAAUAUCAAUAUUAGCACGUUUGUUUUGAAGUUACGUUAAAUUAGUUAACCUUUUUGUACAUAUUUCGGUGUUAUCGUUUAUUUCAAAAUCAAAAGGAUAGAUGAGAUCAACAGAUUUAUAAAAGCUUUGAAUAGUUCAGUAAUAGCACAAAAUCCCCAUUGAAGUAGGAAAUAAGAAUUUUAGGACAAGUUUACAGUCUCCAUAGGAAUGACAAUUCUCUGUGGAACAAGAGUCAACUCAAUCUAACAAAUGUUGUAGAAAAACAUACAAAAAAACUUUUGUAUUUCUUUUGUAUUUUCACCUAUAUGUCUGUUUGUUUUGUUUACACAUUGCUGUCAAUAUAUUAAAAGUUUAAGCGACUGUCGUAUAAGUGUGAGGUUUAGCUUGCUAUGAAACCAAGUUUAAUCCACCAUGUACUACAUCAGAAAUGGCCGUACGAAGUCGAAAUAUGACAGUUAUUAUCCAUUUGUUUGAUGUGUUUGAGCUUUUGAUUUUGUCAUUUGAUUAGGGGCUUUCCGUUUUGAACUUUCCUCCCAGUUCGGUAUUAUGAAUCCAAAACUCAUCCUUCACCCUUUAUUUCAAAUAAUUAACACUUUGUAAGAUUUGUGAUGCCGUUAAUCAUCUUUAUUUUGCUUUUUAAUCCUAGUUAUUUUUGGGGUUUCUAUUAAAUGUAAACUUUGGUAAUAUAAAAGAUUUUAUAAUCAAUAUUUUUCCAAUCAAAAUUUUGUUUUCUUUUACUUCAUGCCUCCAUUAAUGGUUUUAUUUUAUGUAUAUGGUUCCGAAUUUAACUUUUACAGUCGGUGUUUUGUGACCAAAAUAUAUCAUACACUAAAGCCUUUACUGGUUUGUCCGUCCAUUGUAUGCCCACAAUUUAAUCUAUUCUAUGUUUAAGCGCCCCUAGUAUUCAGAUUACUUUAGUUUUACUGCUAAUCAAUGCUCUUCAACUUUGCACUUAUUUGAUUUUCUAACUAUUUUUUAUAUGAGCGUCACUGAUGAUUUUUUUGUAGACGAAACGCGCGUCUGACGUAUUUAAUUAUAAGACCGGCACCUUUGAUAACUAUUAGCAUAUCGAUAUGUACUAAUAUUGUAUUGCUUAUUUGUGAAUUUCUCUGUCCUGAAUGAUCUUGCAUAUUUGUGUACUGUAGUCCUUCGUGUAAUGUUGACUUUUAGGUGUUAUAUUUAACAUUGCAUUAACAGCGCGAGGUUUGGCUAGCCACAAAACCAGGUUCAACCCACCAUUUUUUCUUAAAAUUUCCUAUGCAAAGUCAUGAACAUGGCAGUUGGUAUUUUAAAGUUCUUUUCUCUGUGUGUUGAAUUACAGUUUUUUUUUGUUGCACUUCAGUGUUUCUGUUGUUAAGUUUUUCUACAUAUAGUUGAUGUGUUUCUAUCGGUUUUAGCUUGUUAUCCGGAUGUCUUAACUCACAAUCGGUUUAUGACUUUCGAACAGCGGUAUACUACUGUUACCUUUAUUUACUACGAUUUAGUCUGAGACCCAAGAAAGGACCAACCGUUUCUAAUGUAUUCAUAGCUUUUGGUAUAUCGUUUUUUUUUAACUACAAAAACAAAAGAGUUGUAUCAUCCUCCAAUUAAAGGGACCUUAGCUGUCAAGCUUAUGUUUACUCGGUUUCAAUCAAAUUUUCCGAAUACCUUUAAUGUCGGGCUUUGUUGUAAUUGCAGAGCCAUAAUUUCUACUGAUAAAACAAAAAAAGAAAUAAAGCAGACAAGGGAAAUCAUUGACGGAUUCCUCUACAAUCAUAUCAAAAAAUCUCAGUUACCCAUCAAUUACGUGUUACACAUGUUUAUUUUCCCUUAUGUAAAGUUUCCAUAAAUGAUAUAAAUGAUUCACUAAAGCAAACUCUUUUAGAACGCUUUACAAGAUAACCAAAUGGUGUUGUAUAAUCUUGUAUAAUCACGUAGUAUAAUUCAAGCAUUAAAAUAUAUAUUCCACGUCCUUUCAGAAAAGAUUCUUAUUGUUCACAUUCUUGAUCAAUUUCACUGAAUGUAUCUCUUAGUAACUGCACAUUUUCAAUAGAAAGCACUGUUUAUUUUACGACAUGACUUAGCUAAGUUGAAAUUACAGUUCAAACUGGCUCCUCCCCUAAAACAUCUUUAUGAUUUAUCGAACAAAUAUCUUCCUAUACCUGCAAACAAAUAAAAACAUGGUACAGUUUAAAUUAAUUGGACUGUUGAAACAAUUUAUUCAGUAAACAUUCACACAAGAAAAUUUAUAUACAGAAAUUUUUGCAUUCAGGUAAAUAUGUAUUUUGUUAUUUUGUUAUUAUGUAUGUCUGUCAUUUAGAAAUUUAAAAAAUCUAGCCUGAAUUACUGUCAAAAAGGUUCACUAGGAAAUAUUUCGUGUCUUGUCUUGUAUGUUCGUCGAAAGAUUAUUCACGAAAAAUGGCUUGUAAGCAUAACAAACAUAUGAUUGGUGCCGCUGAUCGACUGUCUGUCCGUUAAGGUACCAUCCGACCAGUAGCUGAUACUUCAGUUCUGGUCUGAUUUUAAUGACGUAAAAAACGUAAGCCAUACAUAUUUCAAAGAUGCAAAAUUGCCAACAUUUUGCAUAAUUAACCAAUGUUUAUAUAUACAUGCAGCAUAAUUUAAUUUUGGAUGUAACGCGUCUUCUGAUUGGCUGGCGUUAUUUUGUUAUGAGCCCAUAGACAUAAUUUAGUCAUGUGACCGUGACGUUUUUAAUGGUUUUCUACGGUUUAAAAUAGAAUUUAGAAUUAAAUUAUAAGAAAUAACUGUAAUAUUUUUUCUGUCUAUUCGAAAUAACAUAAAAAAUGUGGUGCACACUGUUAAAUAACCCGCUACGCGCGUUAUUCAGUGUACACCAAAUUUUUUUAUGUUAUUUCUUCAUAGACAGAAAAAAAUAUUACAGUCAUACCUUAAAUAUCAGUUUUCGCCACUUUGGUGACUUCAUCAUGCAUAAGAUGCUUCGGAGUAUUACAUUUAUAUAUGUGUGUUUUUUUCCUCAGAGCAAUGCUGUAUUAUACAACACUAUUUGCAUUAUUGAUUGGCACUGUGUAUACAGCUUCGAUCUCUGUUUCUGGUAAUGGACAAUCAGGCAGUGCUAGUACUUCAGGAAAUGGUUUUGGUUGCACUGUAGUGAAUGGUAAGAAGCACUGUGUCGUGAGUAAAGGAGAUGGUGGUGGCGGAAGCGGAAGUAGCAAUGGUGGUGGCGGUGGUGGUGGAGGAGGAGGAGGUGGGAGUGGCGGAGGAUGGGGAGGAGGCGGUAGUGGAGGUGGAUGGGGUUCCAAUUGGUGGUAA